rnacentral:lncRNA from 1 species
ACAUCACACAUCCUGGAUCAAGUAAAAACUCUAGGUUUCCAGCAAGCCACCGCUACAUUCAUUUCAUUAGGAAUUGAUAAUCUUUAACAAUACCUUCUAAGGGAUGGCUAGUCCAAAAUGCAGAACAAUAUAGUUUGAUUUUGAAAAAACACUAUCAUUAUGGAAAUGUACACUCAGUAGAAAAAUUAUGCCAAUCUAUUGAGAUAUGGUAUGCUAGUGAAUAUUUGUUAUAAGAAAUGAACCUGAAUUUUAGAAUGACAAAACUCUUUAAUCCAGUUUAUAUAAUGUCUUUUUUCAGAAGCUAGGGAAAAUACAUCUCAAGUACACCAAUUAGUAGGCAUGAGAGGCUUAAUAUCCAUCCACAAGGACAAAUGAUUGAUUUACUCAUUCCCAGCAAUUUACGCGAUGAAGAUGAUUUCUCAACUUAUUGGGUUCUUUUUGAUCUAUGCAUCAUGGAAUUUUUUGGAUAUUUAUUGUUGAGCAAAAUUGUUGGCGUCAUUGUGGAUGGAGUUUUUCCUUUGCAUUGAUUUUUAUUGAGCAAAAUUGUUGGCUCAUUUCAUCUAUCCAGUGGAUAUUACCCAAACAUCUAUUAAGUCUCUGCCAGAUUUUAUUCUACCUAGCUUGGUUGUUUGUCUAUGUAAAAAAUAUCCUCUCGUGCACACCUCUACCAACCUUACAUUCUCAAUACAGUCUUUAAAAUUCUCAUCUAGAUUCAUAGCUUCAUGUCCUCCCAACCUUUCACUUACAAAAAGGGUAGUAUUAAAAUCACCUGCACUAGCCAUGCUCCUUUCAUACCAUUCAAAAAAUGCUCAAUCCUUCCCCACAAACUUCUCCCCACCAUACUAGUGUUACUUGCAUGCACAACUAUCAAAGAAACCAUUUACCCUCCACCUCAACAUGAGUGUGAAUCAGUUGAUCAAUAGCCAUAAUUACAUGCAACUCUAUCCAAUGCACAUCAAAACACACCAUACAACAUCCCAUCUACACAAUCUCAAGCCUUUGAACAUUUUCUUUAUUACACUCCCUAACUCUUGUCUCCAAAAUUGCUACUACCUUUAAUUGACACCUAAUAAUUAGAGAGUGAACCUCUGACUGCUUUUUAGGGUCAUUAAGACUCCUUAUAUUCUAGGAGCCAAUCAUCCCCUUUUGAAAGGGGAAAUAAUCACCCUUCCCACUUCCCUCCCUCCAUCUCCUUUUUCUAAUCUAUGUGAUGUUACAAUCUCACGUCUAGCCACACUCUCCCCCUCACUAUUGGUAGAACUAAUAACCCCUACUUUACUUUUCUCUUUAAUUUUUGCCGCCUCAAUCCUUUUCUUGUGUUCAUCUAUCUCACUAAAGUUUUCCCCAAACCCCUCCUCCGCACACUUCUUAUUAGAGAUCACCUGUUUCCCCUCAUUAUUUUCUUCCACCUUUCUAACCCCAUCCUUACAUUUUCCUUGUCCCCUUAUUUAGCCCAUGAUCUAGAAUAGGAUGCCUUAUGCCUAAAGCCCAUGCAAUUUAUAUAUCUAAUAGGUUUCCACUCAUAUACAAUUUUUUAAUACAAUUGUACACUAUAUUCAUCUUCAAAGAAGAUUUCAUUUGGCAAACCACCAUUAAUUUUCAUCUCAAUCAACAUUCUAGCAUAGCCCAAUUUCAAUUUCUCAGAAGUACACCAAUUUGAAAAUAAUGGCUUACCUAGAGUACUCCCAAUUCUGCUGAGCAUCUCAAAAAACCAAAAUUCCCAAGGUAAAUAUGGGAAUUGGAACCAAACCGGUAACUUCUACAAUUUAUCAAUCUCCAUCUUCAUUCUAGGUUGCCAAGGCACUAGUAUAAACGGUUGCCUAUUAAAAGUAUAUGGUCCUUCCUCCACAACUAAAUCUCUCCCUUCCUCACUAUCAAAUACAAACAAAAAUACAUUUGUUUUCACCAUGUGAACAGUCCUCAAACCAUGCCUCCUCCAUCUAUUCAUAGUAUAUUUCUCUAUCCAAAUAAAUCUAGGGGCAGCCCUAAUGACACUUCCAAUAAGAGCAUUCCUCAAUUUUUCUUCCUCAGAUUUCAACUCAGCAUUAUGGACUUUUACUAUCUUAUUACCAUUGGAAAUUUAAGGUGGAACAUAUCUAAACUCGGAUUCAGGUUUCUUAGAUCGAUUACUCACCAUUUCUGCCCAAGAUUUCCUCCUUGGGUCACCUUCUCUUCCUUGCAUGACUGUUGUCUCUCCCCCCUCCCAUUGAUGCCAUUUGGUUCCAUCGUUCAUCUCUCUGUUCCCACUGGUCGGCCCUCCGAUCGGAGCUCCAUUUGCGUUGCAGCUUCAACAAACCCAUUUCGCAUAUGUUCUAUCCUCUAUUCAACUACAUCUUCACCCUCAAGACUGCCGUUUGUUUUGUCCCUCACCACGUCUUCCACCGUCUUCCCAGUCGCUAGUGGUCGCCGACUCAAGCCAGACCCGCACUGAUUCUUCCUCCUCAUUCCAAAAGCGGCAUGCUCAAAAGUGCUAUUUUGGGCCGCGAGAGAGAGUGGAGCGAGAGGCUUUGUUUGCUAUCUAAGUGUUGUUUUUCCUUUAAUCUCCAAUCAAUGUUUUUAUAACAUUGAAAGUUGAUUUGAUAUCUUUAUUUGUUCCUCGCCACAUAAACUCUAUUAAUUUCUUUGUUAUAUUUGAUGAUAUAUAAUUAUAUACUAUAUAUUGUUAUGUAUCUCAUCACAAUUCAAGAUUUUUGUUUUUUGAAGUAAUCGGUAGAGUGAGAAUUGAGUAAUAUAAGAUGAGUCAUAUCCUUUCGAUCACUAGACCAAACUAAGCUUAGACUAGUUUAAAAAUAUUAGAAAUAUGGAACUAUUAGAAUUUAAAAAUAAGUCCAAUUAAAUUUUUAUAUUUUUGUUCAAUGGUCAAAUAAGUUCAAUUUAAUUUUUUUUAUUAAAUAAAUCAUUAAACUUUAUUUUUAGGAUCAAAUAACUCGUAAUCAAAUAAAUACUUUUUAAAUAAUAAGAUUUUAUUUUUAUAAUUUUAAAUUAUUUACUAUUUCUAUAUUUUUUUAAAAAAUUUUAUGCGGACUAAAAUACUAAAAAUUUGUGAUAUUUUAAAUUAAAAAAAUAAUAUAUAUUAAGUCAUGACUUAUUUAGGCUUAAAGUAAAAUUUAGAGAGUUUAUUUAAUUAAAAAAUAAAUAAAUUUUACUUAUUUAGCAUUUGAGUAAAAAUACAGAAAUUUAAUUGAAUUUAUUACUGUUAGCUUUCUCAGUAAAAAGAGAUUAGAUGACUGAAAGAUACAUGAGAGGGAUGACACAUAAACCAAUUGCCUUAAAGUUUUGGACUAAAAAUGAUAUAAAGUCCUUACAUGUGUGUACCUUUUUACAAGUCCAUCAAGAAAGGAUUAUCUCCGAACAAUAAAUAAGAGGCUUUCCUUUAAGUGUAAGGCAUAUAAAUAAGGACUCAUAAAUUCAAUGUCUUAGAAUUUUUAGGUUAGAUGUAUGUGAUGUUAAGCUGAGUGCUUCUCUCAUAAAGCAAGAAGGAUUGUCUCUAAAUGUAUUGCGGAUUUUUCAUCAGAUCUCUAACAAAGAUCUGAUGAAGGAGUUGACUUGAAGUCAAAUUCUUUUUUUUUAAAGGUAGAUAAUUCUUUUGUACAAGUUAUUUCAAUCUAUUUGAAAUUUUUAUUAAGAUAUGAUGAAGGAGUUGACUUGAAGUCAAGGUCCCUCAUAAAAAAACAAAGAAAAAUGAUAACAUUUUUCCCAGAUAAUAAGAAAAUAACGUAAAAGAAAAAACGUUGCUUUCUUGUGGAAAAUAAUGGGAUUUGUUAAUGAAUAUAGAGGUGGAAGAAGAGGAAGACUUGGACUUUUGGUACAAAAUGACAGCUUUAAAACCAAAUUACACGCCCAAUAAACUUACACCACGUCAAUAAUAAUUAUAAUAAUAAUAAUUCACAACAUCAUACCAUAAUUUUAUAUAAUUGAAUUAAUUAAAGUCUAGGUCUCCUUUAAAAUCUUAAAUUAAGAUCAAUAAUGGAGGGAGACUAGACAAUACUCUUCACAAUUAAUACUUAAGUUAAAAUUUAGUUUCCAAAUGUUAUAUAUAUUAUUUGUUUUUAAUUCAUUAAGGUGAGCUUUAUUUAUUAAAAAGUUUUAAAUGUUUUUUUAUCUAAAUAUAAUUAUAAUGAAGAAUUAAAUUUGAUUGGUUAUUUAAAAGUUUUAUUAUAAUUUAAAAUAAAAAUAUAGAACUCCCUAUGAUGUUACACCAAUUAAAUAAAAACCUAUUAUUUAUUUUAAAAAAGUUAAUGAAUAAAAGUUUGACUAGUAUUAGGAUUAGAAUUCAAUUUAGAGCCUACGUGAAACAAACAAUUCAGGCAUUAUUUAAACUUUGGAUAGUUGGAUUUUUUUUUAAAAUGAGAUUUAAUAAAUGAAUCGAAUUUGAAUUCAGUAAAUAUUCAGUUCCUUAAAAUUUAAAAUAUAUUUAUUUAAUAAGUUUAUAAAUUGAUUUAUAAAUAUAAAUAUUUAAUCAAAAGUAUUUAUUUUUCACUUACUAUUUUUAUUUGAGAUUUAAUUUGAUAAAAAUUUAAAGGUUUUUAUUAAUUUUUUAAAUAAAUUAAAUUAAAAUUUAUUAAUAUUCUACUCGAAUUAAAAAAAAAAAGUCAAAAUGUAAUUUAAUUCAAACUAAAAAAACUAAUAAAUCAAAUUUAAAUUCACUCUGCUCAGUUGGUUUACCCUUCAAAAUUUAAUGAACUUAUUUUUUGUAUUUAUAUAUUUUUAAAAAGUAUAAAUGAAUAAAAAAGACAUCUAUAUUAAGAAAAGUAAAAGAUAAGUUGCUUUCUUGUGGAAAAUGAAUGGAAGACUUUCAAAAUCGAAGGACACGCGCUCCCUAAACUUAUGAUAUUAAUUGGAAAAUAUAUAUUUUUUAGGGGAUGAUUUAAUUGAAUUACAAAACAUCCAAUGCCAUGUUGGGUCCUUGCCCUAUAUAUAUAAUAGGGCAAAGCUUGUGCGUUAAGAGCAAGUGAUACUAUCAACUAGAAAUAUUAAAAAUGAAGGUGAUGAAGGUGUGCUUUAUGGUAUUAGCAAUGAUAAUGGUUUUAUUAUUACAAGGGAUUUGGUGCUCUGCUGAUUGUUGGGAGACUGACAGAAUUGCUCUCUUGCAACUUCAGUCUCAUCUCAAUUAUUCUCUUCAACAUGAUCCAAAUAUUCCUUUUUACUAUGAUUAUUCCACAUCUUUUUCGAAAAUUGAUGUUAUCAAGUGUUGUGAUUGGGAAAGAGUGAGGUGUAGUGCCACCACAGGACGUAUUAUCCAACUCAAUCUUCAUAGUAUAAGAGAUUUUUCAGCAGGAAUGUGGUAUCUAAACGCCUCUUUGUUUCUUCCAUUCCAACACCUCAACCAUUUAGACUUAAACUACAAUCAGAUUACAGGUUGUCUUAAGAAUGAAGGUUUGUAUAUUUAUAUCUUUCAUUACCAUAAUUAUAAUUGCAUCUCAUUACAUAUGGUAAUCCAAAUUAAAUGAGUAUUUGAAAAUCCAUCAAGUUACAUUUCAUACAUUUUCCCUCUAUUUUUAUUUAUAUAUGAUUAUAAUUGAUUUUUAUAUAUGCAGGUUUUGAAAGGUUAUCCUCACUUGAGAAUUUGGAGUUUCUUGAUUUAGGUUCUAAUAACUUCAACACUGAUAUUUUAUCAUCCCUAACUCAUCUCUCAUCUUUGAAAUAUUUAUAUCUAUAUGGCAAUCACAUGAAAGGAAGAAUUAAUAUUGAAGGUGAGCAUACAUAAUUAAUUUUCUCCAUUUUUAUAUGUCUUCUCAUACCAUUAUAUAUUCUUAAUUAGUUGCUUGUGAGUGUAGAAUUGAACAGCUUGACAAAUUUAAAAAUUUGAGUAUAUGGUAUAAUAAAAUUGAAGGGUUUAAGUCUUUCAAUAGUACGUAUAAUUAUUUAUCUGAAAUAUUUUAUUUUAUUUUAUUUUCUUUAAUAAGUAAAAUAAAAAAAUUAUUGUAUAAAGAGUUUUUAUACAUAUGCAGGUGGUGAAGAAUUAUUAAAUAUGAGCAAUCUAGAAUUUCUAGACAUGAGUAUGAAUUACCUUGAAAAUGAUGUUUUAUCAUCUCUCAAGAGUCUCUCAUCUCUUAAAACUCUGUGGAUGAGUUAUAAUCAAUUGAAAGGACCUUUUGAUUUAAAAGGUUAAAUUUUUUUUUUCUCUUUCUCAUUAAAAUAUUAAUUGAUUGAAUUGUUCAUAUUUAUAAUUAUUGUUUUAAUUAUGUGUUAUUUCUUACUAAUCAGAAUUGGAUACCAUGAGUAAUUUGAAGGAGCUGAGUUUGGAUGGAAACAACAUUACAAAAUUUAUCGGUUCAAGAGGUAUUAAUUAGUUUAUUACUUAACACUUUUUGUUAUUUUAAAUAAAAAAAUUUGAAACUGAUUAAAAUUAUAUAUUAAAUGAUUUAAAUUUUAAACUUUAAAUUUGAAAAGGAAAAGAGCGUUUAAAUUAUUUAAUAAAUUUUAUAAACUGCUUAGAAAAAAAAAAUUAAAAUUAGUAAAAUUUAAUGGAUUAUUAUUUUUAUGUUUUAUAUUAUACUUUUUUAAGCAAUUAUUUUCAUAAUAAAUCUAUUAUAUUCAUAAAUAGAUAUAUUUAUUAGCUGUAUAAAAAUGAUGAAUUGAACAUUACUUACGUAUUUAAUGUAGGGCUAGUGUGUGUAUUUUCCACAUUAUUAUUCUUUUAAUUUUUAAAAUUUGUUUUAAAUCUAGACCACUUAGAUUUGGAAAUAAUAAUAAUAAUAAUUAUUAUUAUUAUUAUUAUUAAAGCACUAGAAUAUUGAAUUAUUUUUUAAAAAAAGAAUCAUAAAUGAAUAUUGAAUAUAUGUAGUGAAAAUUUUAUUAUAUUUUUAACUCUAUUUUCACUUGUAGGAAUGAAAAAUUUGAGAGCCCUUUAUCUAGUCACUAUGAAAGGAAGCAGCAUGCUGUUACAAUCAUUGGGAGCAUUCACCAAUCUCGAAAUCCUAUAUAUGAGCGGAAGUGAUUUAAAAGGGACAAGAUUUGCUCAAUGUUGGUUUUUUUUUUGUAGUUAUACUUAUACUUACUACUCUUCAUUUAUUAAAAAUUAAUUAAUAUUUAUUCAUUCUUUUUAAACAGAUUCUAAUCUCAUCAAUUUGAGAGAGUUAUAUCUAGAUGGUUCUUCUGUGGGUAGAAACUUCCUCCAAAGUCUUGAAGUACUUCCUUCACUUAAAAUAUUAUCAAUGCGAAACUGUGGAUUUAGUGGCAUCAUACCUGUGAACCAAGGUAAAACAAAUAUAGUUUCUUCCUAUUUGAGAUCUCUUUUAUGCUUAUAGUUUCAAACAAAUGUGGCAUCAUACCAAUGAACCAAGAAACGAAUGUAGUUUCUUCCUAUUUGUAGUUAUGCUUAUACUUACUACUCUUCAUUCAUUAAAAAUUAAUUAAUAUUUAUUCAUUCUUUUUAAACAGAUUCUAAUCUCACCAAUUUGAGAGAGUUAUAUCUAGACUACUCUUCGGUGGAUGAAAACUUACUCCAGUAUCUUAAAGCACUUUCUUCUCUCGAAACAUUGUCAAUGCAGGGCUGUGGAUUUAGUGGUAUCAUAACUAUGAACCAAGGUAAAACGAAUGCAGUUUCUUCCUAUUUGAAAUCUCUUUCAUUUUAAUCACAAACUUUAGCUAAAAUAAAUUAUAAAAUCAAUAAUUUUCAGGUAUUUGCAAAUUGAAGCAUCUCCAAAUACUAGACAUUAGCUACAACGAUCUCAGUGGUAACUUACCUCUGUGUCUAGCAAAUUUGACUUCUCUUCAACAAUUACACCUCUCUUUCAAUCAUUUCAUUGGAAACAUCUCUUCGUCUCCACUUGAGGGUUUAACAAAUCUCGAAUAUCUAUCGGUUUCAGGCAAUCUUUUUCAAAUCCCAAUCUCAUUAAGUCCAUUUUUCAACCAUUCAAAACUCAAGUACAUGGAAAGUAGGGGUAACAAAAUAUUUGCAGAAACAGAUGGUCAGUACUUGAACUCAAGAUUUCAAUUGGAGAGGCUUGUAUUAUCUGGUGGUGGAUAUUGUGGAGCAUUCCCCAAAUUCCUUUAUCACCAGCAUAACCUACAAUUUGUUGAUCUAUCACACAAUCAAAUGAGAGAAGGGUUUCCAUCUUGGUUGUUGCAGAAUAACACAAAAUUGGAACAACUUUACUUAAUCAACAAUUCUUUAUCAGGGCCUUUGAAAUUACCAAUUCAUUCCCAUAUGAAUUUGUCAUUGUUGGAUAUCUCAGACAAUUUCUUUCAAGGCUACAUCACACCAGAGAUAGGAACAUAUCUGCCAAAAUUGUCACAUUUAAACAUGUUGGGAAAUGGUUUCAGUGGUAGCAUUCCUUCUUCGUUUGGAAAUAUGAGCUUGUUGAGAUAUUUAGACUUAUCCAACAAUAGAUUGUCAGGUACUAUACCAGAGGACUUAACCAUUGGUUGUGUCUCAUUGCGAGAACUCAUACUUUCAAACAACAGUUUGCAAGGCCAAAUAUUUUCUGAAAUCUCUAACUUAAGGUUUCUGUAUGAGUUACAAUUGGAUGGCAAUCAAUUCACUGGCAGCAUUCCACAUAGCUUGUCUAACAGCUCCUUUUUACAAGUGUUGGAUCUUAGACAUAACAACUUAUAUGGUAGGAUCCCAAGGUGGCUGGGGAACAUGUACUUUCUUCGCGUUUUGGAUCUUUCAAUGAAUAAUAUCUCUGGAAGUCUACCAUCUAACUUGUUCUCUUCAAAUAUACAAGAAAUUUAUUUGUCUAGAAAUGGGCUACAAGGAUCUUUGGAGGACGCAUUUUAUGGUUGCUAUGAGCUAAAUGUGUUAGAUUCGGACCAUAAUCAUAUGACUGGAAGCAUUUCAUCAUGCCACAAUUUGAGAAUAAUGGACAUCAGUUACAAUCAUCUAUCUGGUAAGAUUCCGAAUUGGAUCAGGAAUAUGUCUUCUCUUCAAAUUUUGGAUCUUUCACAGAACCGUAUUUCUGGCAAUUUACCAUCCAAUUUCUGUCCAAUAGAUUUAACAGAAGUCCAUUUGUCUAAAAAUAUGCUGCAAGGAUUGUUAAAGGAUUCAUUCUAUAAUUGCCCUUCAUUGGUGGUGUUAGAUCUUAGCCAUAAUAAUUUGAUAGGAAGGAUACCAAAAUGGAUUGGAGAGAUUCCAUUGGGCUAUAUUCUCUUGAGUCAUAAUCAUUUUGAAGGUGAAAUCCCAAUUCAGCUAUGCAAGUUGGAUAAGUUAAGCUUGAUUGAUCUUUCUUAUAACAAUCUUUCUGGUCAUAUUCCUCAUUGCCUAAGAUGCAGCAGUAAUUAUUGGUAUAGGCAACAAGAAGCUUUACUCGAUCCUCCUACCACUGCUUUAGCUCCAAGUAUUGCUUAUUCUCCUGACAUACAACCCGAACAGCCUGUAGAGUUUACAACCAAGAACUCUUCUUAUUUUUACCAACCAAGCAUCCUUCACUAUUUCUCUGGAAUUGAUCUCUCUUGUAACAAUUUGGCUGGUGAGAUUCCUCCUGAAUUAGGAAAUCUCAACAUGAUCAAGGUAUUAAAUCUUUCCCACAACAAGUUGAUUGGAGCAAUCCCACCCACAUUUUCAAACCUAAGGCAAAUUGAGAGCUUGGAUCUUUCAUAUAACAAUUUGGAAGGGAAAAUUCCUCCUCAACUUACUCAGCUAUAUUCUCUAGCUGUAUUCAAUGUAGCACACAACAAUCUAUCUAGCAAAACACCUGAGAGGGUUGCACAAUUUGCAACAUUUGACCAGAGUAGCUACGAGGGAAAUCCUUUGUUGUGUGGACUGCCACUGCCGAAGAGUUGCAACAACACAUCUCCAUCACCACCAGUAACUCCAACAGAAGAAAAAGAAGAUAACGGCUUCAUGGAUAUGGGUGUUUUCUAUGUGAGCUUUGUGGUGUCGUACAUCAUGGUGUUGCUGGCAAUAGCAGCAGUUCUAUACAUAAACCCAUACUGGCGACGAAGAUGGUUUUACUUCAUAGAAACGAGCCUUACCAAUUGCUACUAUUUUCUGGUGGACAAUAUUCCUCUAUUAUCCAAAUUUGGACUUUCAUAGAAUUGAGGCUUGACAAGUUCAAUGCUUGACCAUCUGUGUUUUCCAAUGUUCAAUUAAUUGCAUUUUGUUCUUGAUUUCUGUCUUUUGUAAUUGAUCUAAGCUAAUUUUUGUUUGAAAUAUAAUUGCUGGACGUUGUUAAUAUUACAUGUUAAGUUGUGAUUCGCUUCUUCAUGGAUGAGAGACUAAGAAAAAUUAUUCAAAACAUUGUUAAUAUCUCCAUUAUUCACAUAAAUCUUUAUAAAAUUAUACAAUAAUUUCAUAUUUUUAAAUAAAAAUUUUUUAAAUUUAAAAAUAUUAAAUUUUUUCAUUUCAAAUAAUAUAAUUAUUAAAAAAAAUUAAUCAAAUUAAAUUUUUAUAAAAUUCUUAAUUUCGAUACGAAUAAAAUAAUUAAAUUUAAAAUUGUAUUCAAAAUAAAUUAAUAUCAAUAAUCUCAUAUGGAGUUUAAAAUAUAAUAUUUUUUUUGUAUUUAUUUAGAAAUAAAUAAAAUUCAUUAAUGUGGAAAUAAAUAAAAAUCUCACGUAGGAGAGCAAGUAUAUUUUAUUACUUAAUUCACAAAAUAAAAUUUCAUAUUUAUACCAACAAACUUAAUUAGGAUAAAAAAAAAUUAAGAUAUUUUAUUUGCAUUAUUUUUUUUAUAUAUAUAAUUGAUACUUAUUGGAGUUGAAAUUUGAAACUGCUAAAAACAAUUCUAAAUCAUUGCUAUUUUCAUAGCGUAUUUCAUUUUCACAAAUAUAAUAUAUAAUAAACUGAUAAGAAAUAUUUUAAUAAAACUAUAUGUUAAUUAUUUUAAUAUUUAAAUACUAGUCAUAAUUAUAUAUCACUAUUUUAGAAUUAUCAAAUAUAUAUUUUUAAGAAUUAAUUUUUUUAAAAAAAUAUAUAAAAUAAAAAAAUCUACUAAUAUAUUUUUUCUUACUUAAAAAAAUUGUAAUUAUACAAAUAAAAAUGGAAUAAUAUUCUUUUAAAACUAAUAAGUACAAAUUAAGUGCAGAAGAUUGAUUAAUUCUUAAAAUAGGUAGGAAUAAAAUUAAAUAUAGUAAAAUUUACUAAUAUAUUCUAAAUUAAACCAUUGAAUUUAUUCGUACUUUACCGCUUAAUUAAUGUGUUAAAAUUAAUAUUUAUAUUUUACAAUUAUUUGAAUCCGCACUAAUUAUUAAAAAAACUUUAAAUUUCACUAGCUUUAACAAUUACAUUUAAACAUUUUUCUUAAUAAAUCUAGGGGCAGCCCUAAUAAUACUUCCAAUAAGUGCAUUCCUCCAUUUUUCUUCCUCCUAUUUCAACUCAGCAUUAUGGACUUUUACUGCUUUCUUACCGGUGGAACAUACUUAAAUUCGGAUUCAAAGUUUCUUAGAUCGAUUGCUCACCAUUUCUACCCAAGAUUUCCUCCUUGGGUCACCUUCUCUUCCUUGCAUGACCGUUGUCUCUCCCUCCUCCCAUUGAUGCCAUUUGGUUCCAUCGUUCAUCUCUCUGUUUCCAUUGGUCGGCGAUUUGGUUCCUCCGGUCGAAGCUCCUUUUGCGUCGCAGCUUCAACAGACCCAUUUCGCAUAUGUUCUGUCCUCUAUUCAACCACACCUUCGCCCUCAAGACUGCCAUUUGUUUUGUCCUUCACCACGUCUUCCACCAUCUUCCCAGUCGCUGGUGGUCGUCGACUAAAGUUAGACCCAGACUGAUUCUUCCUCCUCAUUCCGAAAGCGGAAUGCGCAAAAGUGGAGCGAGAGGCUUCGUUUUGCUAUCUAAGUGUUGUUUUUCCUUUAAGCUCUAAUCAAUUUUUUUAUAACAUUGAAAGUUGAUUUGAUAUCUUUGGCUGUUCCUCGGCGCAUAAGCUCUAUUAAUUUCUUUGAUAUAUAUUUUUUCUUAAAUCCAUAAUUGGGAAUGUAUAAUAGAAGUUAAAUUCAAAUGGACUCGCAAGCAAAUUAAACUUGCGAAUGUAAUUUCUUUAUUAUAUUUAAUAAUAUAUAAUUAUAUGUUAAAUAUUUUCAUGUAUCUCAUACAAUUUAAAAUUUUUGUUUUUUAAAUAAUCGGUAGAGUGAUAAUUAGUUAAAAUUUAUAAGAUGAGUCUAGAGCAAAUUAAGUUUAAGUCAGUUCAAAAAUAUUAGAAAUAUUUAAUUAUUAAAAUUUAAAAAUAAGUCUAAUUAAAUAUUUAUACUCUUAUUUAAUGGUCAAAUAAAUUCGAUUGAAUUUUUUUUAUUAAAUAAAUCUGCUCCAAAUAACUCCUAAUCAAAUAAAUAAUUUUUAAAUAAUAAUUUUUUUAUAAUUUUAAAAGUAUUUACUAUUUCUAUAUAUUUUUUUAAAAUUUUUAUACGGACUAAAAUACUAAAAAUUUGUAAUAUUUCAAAUUAAAAAAAUAAUAUAUAUUAAGUCAUGACUUAUUUAGUUUUAAAGGUAAAUUUAGAGAAUUUAUUUAAUUAAAAAAUAAAUAAAUUUUAGUUAUUUAACAUUUGAGUAAAAAUUCAGAAAUUUAAUUGAAUUUAUUUCUGUUAGCAUUGUCAGUAAAAAGAGAUUAGAUGACUGAAAGAUACAUGAGUGGGAUGACACAUAAACCAAUUGCCUUAAAGUUUUGGACUAAAAAUGAUAUAAAGUCCUUACAUGUGUUGUGUGUACCUGUUUACAAGUCCAUCAAGAAAGGAUCUCCAAGCAAUAUUGGACUCUUUGAUCACCACAAGAGGCAUCAGAGUCGAUGGUUAUAGGGACAAUUACAGAGACGAUGGUUGUGAUUCCCAUACUGCUAUGGAACAAACUUACUCAGAGGAAAUUAUAUAAUGAAACCGGUUGUAUUAUAUAAAAUUGUCCAUACAAUAUAAUAAAUUAAUAAAAAAUAAUUAUUUCUUUUAUUUAUACAAAAAAUAGUUUUUUUUUAUGUAAAAAAAAAUUACUCGUUCAUUACUAUAUUUUUAAGGUUCAUUUAUUCAUUACUAAGUUAUACUUAUAUAAUUGUUUAUUUUUUAUUAGCUUGUUAUAUCAUGUAAAUAAUUUUAUAGAGGUAAAUCUAAUUAAAUUCAUAUUUUUUUUAUUUAAGGGUAAAAUUUUGAGUUAAUUAAGUCCCUGUUUUUUUUUAAGGAAUAAAUAAGUCCUAACAUAAUAUAAAAUUAUUUUUUUAAUAAUAAAAUAUUAUUUUUUAUAAUUUAAAAUAUCAAAAAUUUAAUAUUUUAAUUAAUAUAAAAAUUUUAAAAAUAUAUAGAGAUAUAAUAAAUAUUUUUUAAAAUUAAAAAAUGAAAUUUUAUCAUAUAAAAAAUAUUUUUUAUUAUAACAAAGAAUAUUAUAUUAAAUGAUGGUUUAUUUGAUUUUUUUUUUUUUUGAAAUAACAAGAAAACUUCAUUAAUUUAAAGAAAACAAAGAAACAAUAUGAGGAGGAGGGAUAUCAAUCCAAACUCCUUGACCUGACUCAGAAUGAGCCGAUGUUGCUAGAACAUAAGUGACAUCAUUCGCAGAUCUAUGAACAAAAACACACUUUGCUUCCUCAUAACUAGAUAGAAGCAGUUUACAAUCUUGAACCAAAAGGCCAAAAGACGAUAAAUCAUCUAACAAAACACAAUUAACUGACAUCACAAGUACCUGAGCAUCUAAUUCGAAAAGAACUCGAUCCCAUCCACACUCUUUAAUCCAGCUUAAUGCUUCCCGGAAUGCUAUAACUUCAGCACACUUUGUAUCCAUCUGGCUAUAAAAAGAGCCUGCUCUAGCAGCCACAAAACUCCCAUCAUCCUUCCGGAUUACACAACCGAAACCUACCGAACCUCGUUGCAAGCUUAAAGAGGCGUCAAUGUUCGCCUUGAUCCAACCGUGCGGCGGAGGAGACCAGAUCGGGCGAGUCGGGUCGACAAUGGUGCUUACUGAGGACACGACCCGGGCUGCUUUCCAUUGCUGCAAAAAAUUCAGAGCCAUGAAGAACACACCACUCGCAGUCUGACCCUGGCCCUUCCAUACAACAUUGUUCCUAUUUUGCCACAAAGCCCAUAAGAUCAUUAGCAUAAGGGAGGCAUUUUCCACAGAAGCAGAAGAGAAAGCUAAAGAAAACCACUCAUUUAAAGAAGAUGCAGAAGGCGCAGGCCAACCCAACGGCGAGCUUAACCAGCAGCUGCGGGCAAAAGGGCACUGAAUCAGAAUAUGCAAGACAUUCUCAGGGGCUACAUGACACAACGGGCAUGAAGGAUCAACUGGGACUCUCUUGGACUGAAGUGACGAGAGGCAAGGGACAACAUUAACUAGAGCCCGCCAGCAGAAAUUGAGCACUUUUGGGGGAACUUUAGCUUUCCAGAACCUUUUCCAUAUCUCGCUCCCUUCCCUAUGUUGAAAGCCAUCAACCAUGAACCUAUAUGCACUCUUAACCGAAUAGUGACCUUUGGACUCGAAUUUCCAGCACCAUGUAUCAGAACAUGAUGAAAGACUAAGAGGGAUGUUCAAAAUACAACUUCUAUCUCUUUCGUUGAACAUCUGUGCAAUUAAACUCUCGUUCCAUCUGUGGUUAAUUAUGAGAUCUGAAACAACAACUCUAGCACAGUUCAAAGGAGGGGUUGUGGAAACUAGGGACUCAGGCAGCUCUCUCAACUAGGGUUGCCCCCAGACUGAAACUGACUGACCAUUCCCAAUCCUCCAGUAAGCCCCAGCUCGAAUUAGACCCCGAGUUUCCCAUAUGCUACGCCACAAAAAACUAGGGUUACUUCCCAAAGGACCUUCAAAGAAAGAUUGUGUCGAAAAAUAGCGGGCCUUAAGGACACGAGCCACUAAGGACUGAGGCCUGUUGAUAAUGUGCCAGCCCUGCUUCCCAAGCAUGGCCAAGUUAAACUUAUGAAGAAUUUUGAAACCUAGCCCGCCAUCAGAUUUGUGCUUUGCCAUUCUGUUCCAACCCAGCCAAUGAAUACCCCGAUUUUGAUCCGCCCCCUUACUCCACCAAUAUCUAGUCAUCAUGCGUUGCAGUUCAUCACAAAGAGUCCGAGGAAGUAAAAAUAAGCUCAUCACAUAGUUUGGCAAAGCUUGGAGGACUGUUUUCAAGAGAACCUCCUUACCUGCUUGAGACAGUGCCCGAUGCUUCCAAGAAUUCAGCCUUUUCCACAAUCUAUCCUUAACAAAACUGAACACUUCCCUCUUAUUAUUCCCAACAUGAGAAUGAAGUCCUAAAUAAUUUCCAAAAUCUGGUUUCUCCUCAACCUGAAGUACUGAACAUACAGAGUCCCGAAGAGCCACAGGAGUGUACCUACUAAAGGAGAUAGAUGAUUUCUGAAGGUUUAUCACCUGUCCAGAUGCAUUUUCAUACAUGCGAAGGAUACGCUUGAGUUCCAAAGCCUCCUGAACACUUGCUCGGAAGAAGAUCAAGCUAUCAUCUGUGAAAAAAAGGUGAGAAAUCUGCGGGCCACCCCGAGAAACCCUAUACCCAUGAAGGCUUCCACUGCUUAUACAAUUUUGCAGGAGACGGGAAAGCCCCUCAGCACAAAGAAUAAACAAGUACGGUGAUAAGGGGUCUCCUUGCCUCAAUCCCCUUGUAGGGACAAUAGGGCCUAACUCCUUGCUAUCAUGCAGGAUCCAAUAACGAACAAUGGAAAUAUAAGAGAACAGCAAAGCAACCCAUUGUUGCGCAAAACCCAGCCGAAGAAGAAUAUCCCGAAUGAAACCCCACUCAAGUCUAUCAUAGGCCUUGCUGAUAUCCAUUUUGAGGGCCCCAGAAAACUCUUUUUUCCUUUGAUGCACUUUAAAACCAUGCAAGGCCUCAAAAGCUAAGAUUAUAUUAUCCUGAAUACUUCGACCAGCAAUAAAAGCACUCUGACUCUCCGAGAUGAUGGUGGGCAGAAGGGACUUAAGCCGAUUAACUAUCAUCUUAGUGAUGAUCUUAUAGACCACAUUGCAGAGGGCUAUAGGACGCAAGUCGCUCAUUCGCUCAGGCACAAACUUCUUUGGAAUCAAAACUAAAGCCGUCUCAUUCAACUUCAGAGGAAUAGACCCGGAAUGCAGACACUCAAUGCAAAAACUAGAUACAUCAUCUCCUAUAAUAUCUCAAUACUGCUGGAAAAAACCAGGAUUGAAACCAUCUAGCCCAGGAGAUUUAUCAAUUUUCAUGGAAAAGGCUGCAGACCUUACCUCAUCACAAUUGUAUGGCGCUAAGAGAGAAGCAUUAUGAUCCUGUGAUACCAACGUCGGGACACACUGCAAAACAUGUUCAGAAUUACAACUGUGGGAAGUAAAAAGAGUCAUAAAGUAAUCAGUCAUCACACCCUCCAACCCCGAAUUCCUGUCCCGCCAUACAUUUGAAUCAUCCAGCAGUUUGACAAUCGUGUUUUUCCUUUUUCGAGCACUGGCAGACUGGUGGAAAAAACGAGUAUUAGCAUCACCCUCCUUAAGCCAAAAUUGCUUGGCCCGCUGCUUCCAGAAGAUCUCAUGGAGAUUUAGGAGGUGAAAGAAGCGGACUUUAGCUCGUAAAAACUCAGUUAUAUGUUCCUGUAGGCGAGAGCCACGUAAACGGGACAUGAUAGCAAGGCACUCAUCCAUCUCCACUUUGUGCUUAAGACGAAGAUUUAUACCCCAAGAUUUGAGAGCAGAACGACAAGCCUCAAGCUUACCCGUAGCAUCCAUGUUAGAAGAAGACUGCCAAAUAUCAAAAAUAAGAUUCCGGCAACCAGUCUCACGUAGCCACGUAUUCUCAAAACGAAACCGGUGAGCAUGACGCUGUUCCACAAAGCAUUUAACUACAAGCAGGAUAGGUAGAUGGUCAGAUGUAGAGAAACCCAUCACUUCAGCUGAAGAAUUAGAGAACCUGGCACGCCAUUGAGCAUUAGUAAGAACACGAUCCAACUUAGAUUCCACCCAACUACCACUGUUUCUGCUAUGCUCCCACGUGAACGGGUAUCCUGUCAUAGGAAAUUCCAUAAGACCAGAAUCACAAAGAGCCUUUCGAAACCCAUUGAUCAAGCGUGGAGGUUGGGGUCGACCACCUCGCUUCUCAGAUGGAGAAAGAAUAUCAUUGAAGUCACCCAAACACACCCACUGUUUAUUUGAUCUUUUGAAUAACAAUAAAAGAUUUAAUUGGUAAAAAAAUUUAAAUUAAAAUUAUUUAGCCUUAAAUAAAUGUAUAAGGUGAUAUGGUAUAACCACUUUAGUGUAUAGAAGGAUUGUCUCUAAAUGUAUUACGGAUUCUUCAUCAGAUCUCUAACAAAGAGCUAAUCUGUACCUUUUAUUUAUAUUAAUAAAAAAUUAAAACAGGAUCGUCAAAUUCUUUUUUUUAAAGGUAGAUAAUAGAUUUAGUGAAUAACUAUACAUUUUUCGUUUUCAGUUUUUUUGCGCAAAUUAUUUCAACCUAUGUGAAGUUUUUAUUAAGAUAUGAUGAAGGAGUUGACUUGAAGUCAAAGUCCCUCAUAAAAAAACAAAGAAAAAUGACAACAGUUUUCCCAGAUAAUUAGAAAAUAACGUAAAAGAAAAAACGUUGCUUUCUUGUGGAAAAUAAUGGGAUUUGUUAAUGAAUAUAGAGGUGGAAGAAGAGGAAGACUUGGACCUUUUGGUACAAAAUGACAGCUUUAAAACCAAAUUACACGCCCAAUAAUAAUAAUAAUAAUAAUAAUUCACAACAUCAUACUAUAAUUUUAUAUAAUUGAAUCAAUUAAAGUCUAGGUCUCCUUUAAAAUGUUAAAUUAAGAUCAAUAAUGGAGGGAGACUAUAUAUAAUUUUAUAUAAUUGAAAAAUAUAUUUUUUUUUUCACAAUGAUUUAAUUGAAUUACAAAACAUGCAAUGCCAUGUUGGAUCCUUGCCCUAUAUAUAAUAGGCCAAAACUUGUGCAUUAAGAGCAAGUGAUACUAUCAACUAGCUAGCAACAUUAAAAAUGGAGGUGAUGAAGGUGUGCAGUAUGGUAUUAGCAAUGAUAAUGGUUUUAUUACUACAAGGGAUUUGGUGCUCUGAUGAUUGUUGGGAGACUGAAAAAAUUGCUCUCUUGCAACUUCAGUCUCAUUUUAAUUAUUCUCUUCAAGACGAUUUUUACUAUGGUCCACUUUCAUUCCUUUAUGAUUAUUCUACAUUUUCUCCGGAAAUUGAUGUUAUCAAGUGCUGUAAUUGGAGAAGAGUGAGGUGCAGUGCCACCACAGGACGUAUUACCCAACUCAAUCUUGAGGGUAUAAGAUAUUUUUCUGCAAAAAUGUGGUAUCUAAAUGCCUCUUUGUUUCUUCCUUUCCAAUACCUCAACCAUAUAAACUUAAACCAUAAUCAUAUUGCAGGUUGUCUUAAGAAUGAAGGUUUGUAUGUUUAUAUCUUUCGUUACGAUAAUUAUAAUUGCAUUGCAUUAGAUNNNNNNNNNNNNNNNNNNNNNNNNNNNNNNNNNNNNNNNNNNNNNNNNNNNNNNNNNNNNNNNNNNNNNNNNNNNNNNNNNNNNNNNNNNNNNNNNNNNNUACAUUUUCUCCGGAAAUUGAUGUUAUCAAGUGCUGUAAUUGGAGAAGAGUGAGGUGCAGUGCCACCACAGGACGUAUUACCCAACUCAAUCUUGAGGGUAUAAGAUAUUUUUCUGCAAAAAUGUGGUAUCUAAACGCCUCUUUGUUUCUUCCUUUCCAAUACCUCAACCAUAUAAACUUAAACCAUAAUCAUAUUGCAGGUUGUCUUAAGAAUGAAGGUUUGUAUGUUUAUAUCUUUCGUUACGAUAAUUAUAAUUGCAUUGCAUUAGAUAUGAUAAUUCAAAUUAAAUGAGUAUUUGGAAAUCCAUCAAGUUGCAUUUCAUAUCUAUUAUAUAUGUUUUCUUUCUUUUUAUUUAUAUAUAAUUAUAAUUGAUUUUUAUAUAUGCAGGUUUUCAAAGAUUAUCGUCACUUGAGAAUUUGGAGUUUCUUAAUUUAGGUUAUAAUAACUUCAACACUGAUAUUUUAUCAUCUCUAACUCAUCUCUUAUCUUUGAAAUAUUUAUAUCUAGAUGGUAAUCACAUGAAAGGAAGAAUUAAUAUUGAAGGUGAGCAUACAUAACUAAUUUUCUCCAUCUUUAUAUGUUAUCUCAUACCAUUGUAUAUUCUUAAUUAGUUAUUUGUGAGUGUAGAAUUGAACAGGUUGACAAAUUUAAAAAAUUUGAGCAUAUGGAACAACGAAAUUGAAGGUUUUAAGUCUUUUAAUGGUAUGUAUACAAUAUUUUAUUUUAUUUUUUUUAAUAAGUAAAAUAAAAAAAUUAAUGUAUAAAGAGUUUUUAUACAUGUGCAGGUGAUCGAAGAAUUAUUAAAUAUGAGCAAUUUACAACUUCUAGACAUGAGUGAAAAUUACAUUGAAAGUGACGUUUUAUCAUCUCUUAGAGGUCUCUCAUCUCUUAAAAUUCUACGAAUAUAUCAUAAUCAAUUGAAAGGACCUUUUGAUUUAAAAGGUUAGAAACUCUUUUCUCUUCUUAGUUUAAUUGAUUGAAUUAUUCAUAUUUAUAAUUAUUGUUUUAAUUAUGUAUUUUUUUUAUUAAUCAGAAUUAGAUACCAUGAGUAAUCUGGAGGAGUUGGAUUUGGGCAAAAACAACAUUACAAAAUUUAUUGGUUCAAAAAGUAUUAAUUACAUCUAAUUUUUAAGGUUUUUUAUUACUUUAAAUAAAGAAAUUUAAAACGGAUAUUUUAGUUAGAAGUGUAAUAAUACUUAAAACAUAUUGAAUUAUCUAAAUCAGCCCUAGAUAGGCAGAUAUUUAAGCCACAAAUAAAUUACAAUUUUUUUUUUCAAUUUAAAACCAAAACUUUCAUAAGCCAAAGUAGUGCUAUUUAUUGAAUAUUAAGCAUAAUACUUGUUCAUUUAAGAUAUUAUAGAAAUUAAAACACACAAAUUAUGAACUUUUAUAAUGUUGCUCUCAAUUUCUUUUUUCUCAUCACUGUGAAUUUUUCAUAGUAAUUAAUAAUACUAAUAAUUAAAUUACUAAUCAUGACGAAAUUUUAGAGCUAAUUUUAAUAUUGUAAUUAUAAUGUGAUAUUUAAAUACAAUUUUUCAUAUCAAUACAUUUUAAUUUAAUAAUAUUAUCUUUUAAAAUUAUUCUAGUUAAAGUAACAAAACAAUUGAUUAAAAAGAAAAUUAAAGUAUACGGUGAUAAUGAGUGAUUUUUAUAUUGAGACAAACUAAAUUUUAUAAAAAUUUUAAAAUUUGAUAAUAAUUUUUUUAUAAAUAAAAUUACUACCCGAAAUAUUAUUUUUACAACAACUUCACUAUUCUUUAUCAAUAUUUGAGUUUUUAACUUUAAGUAUAUUAUGUUUUUUAUUUUUAAAAUAUUUAUAGAGUAAAUUAUUUAUUUAUUAUUUAAUUUAUUUCUAUAUAAUCACAUUGAAUUGUUAAAAGAUGAUUGUUAUAUUUAUUUAUGUGAUUAAAAUUAUAUAUUAAAUUAUUCAAAUUUUAAAUUUUAAAUUGAAAAAAGAAAAAGAGUACUAUGAAUAAUGUUUAAAUUAUUUAGUGACUUUCAUUAAACUAUUAGGCUUAGAAAAAAAUUGAAAUUGGUAAAUUUUAAUGGAUGAAUUAGAGAAUAAAAUAGGAGAUGAUUAGUUAAUAUUAUUAUUUUUAUGUUUUAUAUUAUACUUUCUUAAGCAAUUAUUUUUAUGUUUUAUAUUAUUGUUCUGUUAAUUUUUAAAAUUUAUUUUAAAAUUAGACCAUAAUGAAUCACUAGAUUUGGAAAUAAUAAUAAUUGAACCACUAGAAUAUUGAAAAAAAUCAUUAAUAAAUAUUGAAUAUAUUUAGUGAAAUUUAUAUUAUUUUUCACUGUUUUGUUAUUUGUAGGAAUAAGAAGCUUGAGAAAUUUAAGAGCGCUUUAUCUACGUGAUAUAAUCACCAUAAACGGAAGCAGCAUGCUAUUUGAGUCACUGGGAGCAUUGGCCCACCUAGAGUUCUUGGAUGGUAGUAUCUUUGAAGGGGCAACAUUAUCAUUGGGAGUAUCCACCAAUCUCAAGAUCCUACAUAUGAUCGGGAGUGAUUUAAAAGGGACAAAAUUUUCUCAAGGUUGGUAUUUUUUGUAGUUAUGCUUAUAAUUACUACUUUUCAUUCAUUAAAAAAUUAAUUAAAUUUAUUUAUCCUUCUUAAACAGGCUCUAAUCUCACCAAUUUAAAAGAGUUAUAUCUAGAUGACUCUUUUGUGGAUGGAAACUUCUUCCAAAGUCUUGAAGCACUUUCUUCCCUUGAAACAUUAACAAUGCGGUACUAUGGACUUAGUGGCAUCUUACCUGUGAACCUAGGUAAAACGAAUGCAGUUUUUUCCUAUUUGAGAUCUCUUUCAUUUUAAUCACAAACUUUAGCUAAAAUAAUUUGUAAAAUUAAUAAUUUUCAGGUAUUUGCAAAUUGAAGCAUCUCCAAAUGUUAGACAUUAGCUACAAUAAUUUCAGUGGUAACUUACCUUUGUGUCUAGCAAAUUUGACUUCUCUUCGACAAUUAGACCUCUCUUUCAAUCACUUCAUUGGAAACAUCUCUUUAUCUCCAUUUAGAGGUUUAACAAAUCUUGAAGAUCUAUCAGUUUCAAAUAAUUUUUUUCAAAUCCCAAUCUCAUUAAGUCCAUUUUUCAACCAUUCAAAACUCAAGUACAUGGAAAGUUGGGGUAAUAAAAUAUUUGCAGAAACAGAUGAUCAGUACUUGAACCCAAGAUUUCAGUUGGAGAGGCUUAUAUUAUCUAGUAGUGGAUAUGGCGGAGCAUUCCCCAAAUUUCUCUAUCAUCAGCACGACCUAAAAUUUGUUGAUCUGUCGCACAUUCAAAUGAGUGAAGGGUUUCCAUAUUGGUUGUUACAAAAUAACACUAAAUUGGAAAAUCUAGACUUAAUCAACAACUCUCUCUCAGGACCUCUCCAAUUGCCGCUUCAAUAUUCUCAUAUGAAUUUGUCAUGGUUGGAUAUCUCAAACAAUUUCUUCCAAGGCUUCAUCACACCAGAGAUAGGAACAUAUCUGCCAAAAUUGUCAUAUCUAAAAAUGUCGGGAAAUGGUUUCAGUGGUAGUAUUCCUUCUUCACUUGGAAAUAUGAGCUUGUUGGAAUAUUUAGACUUAUCCAACAAUAGAUUGUCAGGUCGUAUACCAGAGGACUUAACCAUUGGUUGUGUCUCAUUGUAUAAACUCAUACUUUCAAACAACAGUUUGCAAGGCCAAAUAUUUUCUGAAACCUCUUACUUAAGGUUUCUGUAUGAGUUACAAUUGGAUGGCAAUCAAUUUACUGGCAGCAUUCCACAUAGCUUGUCUAACAACUCUUUUAUAGAAGUUUUGGAUCUUAGUCAUAACAACUUAUAUGGUAGGAUCCCAAGGUGGCUGGGGAACAUGCACUUUCUUCGCGUUUUGGAUCUUUCAAUGAAUAAUAUCUCAGGAAGUCUACCAUCUAACUUUUGCCCUUCAAAUAUACAAGAGAUUUAUUUGUCUAGAAAUGGGCUACAAGGGUCAUUGGAGGAUGCAUUUUAUGGUUCCUCUGAGUUAAUUGUGUUAGAUAUGGGCCAUAAUCAUAUGACUGGAAGCAUUCCAUCAUGGAUUGGAAAUUUUUCUCAAUUGAGCUACCUAAUCUUGGGGCAUAACCAUAUUGAUGGGGAAAUCCCAGUUCAAUUGUGCAACUUGACUCAAUUAAGUUUGCUUGAUCUUUCUCAUAAUCAUCUUUCUGGUCCCAUUCUCCCUUGCCUAAGAUCUACAAGCAACUCAUAUAGGCAGCAAGAAGGUUCAUAUAAUGCUUCUGCUCCUGUUUCUGUGGAUGAACCUUUGGAAUUCACAACAAAGAGUACAUCCUAUUCUUACCAAGGAAGAAUGCUAUCUUACAUCUCUGGAAUUGAUCUCUCGUGCAACCAUUUGACAGGCCAAAUUCCUAUUGAAAUUGGGUACCUUAAUGAGAUCCAUGUACUAAAUUUGUCUCACAACAGUUUGACAGGAAAAAUCCCAGCAUCAUUUUCCAACUUGCGCCAAAUUGAGAGCUUAGAUCUGUCAUACAACAACUUGGAAGGGAACAUCCCCCCUCAGCUUACUGAGUUAAAUUUUUUGGAAGUUUUCAAUGUGUCAUAUAAUAAUUUAUCUGGCAGGACACUUGACAAGGUUGCACAAUUUGGGACAUUUGAUGAAAGCAGUUAUCGAGGAAAUCCUUUUCUCUGUGGAUGGCCACUGCCAAGAAAUUGUACUGAAAUAGUAUCACCUCCAUCAAAAUCAAGAACUUCAAUUGAGAAUGAAGAAAGCAAUGGCUUCAUGGACAUGGGUGUUUUCUACAUAAGUUUUGGGGUGGCUUACACUAUGGUGUUGUUGACAAUAGCUGCAGUUCUAUACAUAAAUCCGUACUGGCGACGAGUAUGGUUUUACUUCAUUGAGGUGAGUAUAGAGAAUUGCUAUUAUUUUAUAAUAGACAAUCUUGCAGUUUUAUCCAAAUUUAGAUUUUGUAGCUUACGCAGAUGAAUUCAGCUUGAAAGUAUUGUGCAAGUUUUUUAUUUUUCUGUACUUUCAAUUGACCUCGAGAUUGAAUCUCAAGCAGUGAUGUAAAAUGUGUGUUUGAAAUGCUAUAUUUACACCCAACAUUGAAUUUGCUUAAAUCUCUUGCUAUAUUUACUUCACUUGAGCUUUUGUCUUUAGUUGAGUAGGGUGAACAUGUGAAUUACUCGACGGUGAACGAUAACUUCCUACGAACAAUUUGAGUUUUGUCCUCCCUUACAACAUUAUCAGUGCCGGACUGUGGACUUAAUAGCACAUUGUCUAUGAUCCAAGGUGUAGUGAAUAUAAUUUCUCUAUAUGAGAUAUCUUUCUUAUUAAUUAGAAAUUUUAGCUAAAUUAUUUAUAAACUAAUAACUUUCAGAUAUAUGCAAACUAAAGCAUCACCAAAUGCUAGAUAUUAGCAACAACAACAUCGGGGUAGCUUANNNNNNNNNNNNNNNNNNNNNNNNNNNNNNNNNNNNNNNNNNNNNNNNNNNNNNNNNNNNNNNNNNNNNNNNNNNNNNNNNNNNNNNNNNNNNNNNNNNNNNNNNNNNNNNNNNNNNNNNNNNNNNNNNNNNNNNNNNNNNNNNNNNNNNNNNNNNNNNNNNNNNNNNNNNNNNNNNNNNNNNNNNNNNNNNNNNNNNNNNNNNNNNNNNNNNNNNNNNNNNNNNNNNNNNNNNNNNNNNNNNNNNNNNNNNNNNNNNNNNNNNNNNNNNNNNNNNNNNNNNNNNNNNNNNNNNNNNNNNNNNNNNNNNNNNNNNNNNNNNNNNNNNNNNNNNNNNNNNNNNNNNNNNNNNNNNNNNNNNNNNNNNNNNNNNNNNNNNNNNNNNNNNNNNNNNNNNNNNNNNNNNNNNNNNNNNNNNNNNNNNNNUCCAAGGUGUAGUGAAUAUAAUUUCUCUAUAUGAGAUAUCUUUCUUAUUAUUUAGAAAUUUUAGCUAAAUUAUUUAUAAACUAAUAACUUUCAGAUAUAUGCAAACUAAAGCAUCACCAAAUGCUAGAUAUUAGCAACAACAACAUCGGGUAGCUUACCAUUGUGUCUAGCAAAUUUGCCUACUCUUCAACGAUUAGAUUUCUCUUAUAAUUUUUUCAGUGGAAAUAUCUCUUUAUCUCUUAUUAAGAGUUUAACAGCCCUUCAAUACUUAGAUCUCUCAGCCAAUUUCUUCCCUGUCCCAAUCUCAUUGAGUCUAUUCUUGGGCUUUUUGCUUUUCCAAGUUAAAAAAAAAAAAAUUUCUUAAACUUUAGUCUGAAAAAAAUUUUCUAUGCACUUCUAAAAUGCGAUAAGAUGAAUGCGAUAAGAUGAAGUAAUUAAAAAAAAAUUUAAAUACGUUACCGCGCUUUUAAUGAGCGGUAAUGCAGUCAUUAAUUUAAAUUAUAAAUUUAAUUAAUUAUUAUAUUUUAUUAAUUUAAUUUAUUUAAUUAUAUAUUAAAUUUAUAAAAUAUAAUUAUAAAAAUUAUAUUAAUAUUAAUAUUAAUUAAUUUAAAUUAUUUGUAAUUUAAUAUUAUAUUUAUUAAUUUAUAUAAUUUAAUUAAUUAUAUAUUAAAUUUAUAGCAUUAAUUUAAAUUAUAAAUUUAAUUAAUUAUUAUAUUUUAUUAAUUUAAUUUAUUUAAUUAUAUAUUAAAUUUAUAAAAUAUAAUUAUAAAUAUUAAUAUUAAUAUUAAUUAAUUUAAAUUAUUUGUGAUUUAAUGUUAUAUUUAUUAAUUUAUAUAAUUUAAUUAAUUAUGUACUAAAUUUAUAUAAAUAUAGUAAUAAAAAUUAUAUUAAUAUUAUUAUAAAUAUUAAUUGUUUUAAUUUAUUUAUGAUAAAACAUUAUAUUUUCAUAUUUAUCAUUCUAUUUUAUUAUUUUUAUUACAAUUAAUUUAUAAAUAUUUAAUAUAAAUAUUUAUAAUUAUAAAAAAUAUAAAAAAUUAAAUUUUAUUUUAUUUUAUAUUUUUUUCCAUAAUUUUUCUCUAUUCUCUCAUAUUUCUCUCAAAAUACUCUAUAAAUAUUGAUUUUUAAUAUUCCUGUAACCUCCACGAAUAUUAAUAACUGAAAGUGAGAAUACAAAUGAUAACCGCUGGUCAUAUAAAACUUGACAUUCUAAAAAAGAAUGGGAUGUCCAUAUAAUACGGGAUAACAUUUGAUCAUGCUUAGUAUUAUUUUUUAACUUUAUCAUUUGUAUAUAUAUUAACUCAUUUUUAUUACAUUCUACUCUUCCUAAGUAUUUAUAUUUAUUUUUUUAUUUAAUUUUUUAUAUUUUUAAUAAAAUAAAUUGUAUAUAUCCUUAGCAUUAAUUAAUAAAUUUGUAAAAUAAAUUAUAUUAAUACAUUUAUAUAUAUUCUUAUCAUUAAUUAAAUUAUAUAAAUUAAUAAAAUAAAAUAGUAAAUAUGAUAAAUAUAAUAUUAUAUUAUAAAUAAUUUAAAUUAAUUAAUAUUAAUAUUAAUAUUAAUAUAAUUUUUAUAAUUAUAUUUUAUAAAUUUAAUAUAUAAUUAAAUAAAUUAAAUUAAUAAAAUAUAAUAAUUAAUUAAAUUUAUAAUUUAAAUUAAUGAGUGCAUUACCGCGCUUUAAAAACGCGGUAUCGUAUUUAAAAUUUUUUUUUUCAAUUACUUCAUCCUACCGCAUUUUAAAAGUGCGGUAAGCUCAAUCGCAUUUUUAAAGUGCGGUAAAAUUGUUUUUCACUCUGAUCCGAUAAUAUUUUUUUUCCAAUCAAGGUUUGAGAAAUAUAUUUUUUUUUUAAUUUGGAAAAGCAUUUAACCAUUCAAAACUCGAAGUACUCAUAUAGUUCGGGUAACAAAUUAUUUGCAGAAACAGAUCAUCAGUAUUGGAAUCAUAGUUUUCAAUUAGAGAGACUUAUUCUAUCUGGUGAUGGAUACUGUAGAGCAUUCUCCACAUUCCUCCAUUAUCAGCAUAACCUAGAAUUUAUUGAUUUGUCACACAUUCAAAUGAGAGAAAGGUUUUCAUCUUGGUUGUUACACAACAAUACAAAACUAUAAAUUCUUUUCUUAAUCAACAACUCUCUCCGAGGGCCUUUCCGGUUACCAUUUCAAUCUCAUAUGAAUUUGUCAUGGUUGGAUAUCUCAUACAAUAGCUUCACUGGCUCUAUUCUGAUAGAAAUUGGAAUGCAUUUGAUAUCCAAUGAUGUCAAAAAAUGGUUUCAGUGGUAGUACUCCAUAUUCGUUUGGAAAUAUGAGUUCACUGGAAAUUUUAGAUUUAUCCCACAACAAUUUCACUGGAAGCAUCCCAAGUAGCUUAUUAAAAUGUAACCAAUUGAAAAUAAUGGAUGUCAGUUAUAAUAAUCUCUCUGGUAAGCUUCCUAAUUGGAUAGGAAAUAUGUCUCAUCUUCAAAUUUUGGAUCUUUCACAGAACAACAUUUCUGGAAGUUUACCAUCCAAUUUCUAUCCAAGAGAUUUACAGAAGUACAUUUGUCUAAAAAUAUGCUGCAAGGAUUGUUAAAGGAUUCAUUCUAUAAUUGCCCUUCAUUGGUGGUUUUAGAUCUUAGCCAUAAUAAUUUGAUUGGAAGAAUUCCAAAAUGGAUUGGAGAGAUUCCAUUGGGCUAUAUUCUCUUGAGUCAUAAUCAUUUUGAAGGAAAAAUCCCAAUUCAGCUAUGCAAGUUGGAUAAGUUAAGCUUGAUUGAUCUUUCUCAUAACAAUCUUUCUGGUCAUGUUCCUUAUUGCCUAAGCUGUAGUGGUAUUUUUUACCAAGAUGCUGGGAGUUCAAUAUAUCUUCAAGUGCCUGUGGAGUUUACAACCAAAUAUUCUUCCUAUGUUUACCAACCAAACAUCCUCCGCUACUUUUUGGGGAUCGAUCUCUCUUGCAACAAUUUGACAGGUGAAAUUCCUCCUGAAAUUGGAACUCUCAGCAUGAUCAAGGUAUUGAAUUUGACACAUAACAAGUUGAUUGGUGCAAUACCACCAACAUUUUCAAACCUGGGGCAAAUUGAGAGCUUGGAUCUUUCUUAUAACAAUUUGGAAGGGAAAUUUCCUCCUCAACUUAAUCAGCUAUAUUCUCUAGUUGUAUUCAAUGUAGCACACAACAAUCUAUCUGGCAAAACACUUGAGAGGGUUGCACAAUUUGCAACAUUUGACCAGAGUAGCUACGAGGGAAAUCUUUUGUUGUGUGGACUGCCACUGCCGAAGAGUUGCAACAACACAUCUCCAUCACCACCAGUAACUCCAACAGAAGAAAAAGAAGAUAAAGGCUUCAUGGAUAUGGGUGUUUUCUAUGUGAGCUUUGUGGUGUCGUACACCAUGGUGUUGUUAAUAACAGCAGCAGUUCUAUACAUAAACCCAUACUGGCGACGAAGAUGGUUUUACUUCAUAGAAACGAGCCUUAUCAAUUGCUACUAUUUUCUGGUGGACAAUAUUCCUCUACUGUCCAAAUUUGGACUUUCAUAGAAUUGAGGCUUGACAAGUUCAAUGCUUGACUAUCUGUGUUUUCCAAUGUUCAAUUAAUUGCAUUUUGUUCUUGAUUUCUGUCAUUUGUAAUUGACCUAAGCUAAUUUUUGUUUGAAAUAUAAUUGUUGGACAUUGUUAAUAUUACAUGUUAAGUUGUGAUUCGCUUCUUCAUGGAUGAGAGACUAUGAAAAAUUAUUCAAAACAUUGUUAAUAUCUCCAUUAUUCAAAUAAAUUUUUAUAAAAUUAUACAAUAAUUGCAUAUUUUUUAAAUGAAAAUUUUUUAAAUUAAAAAAUAUUAAAAUUUUUCAUUUCAAAUAAUAAUGAAAAUUAUACUAUCUGACUCCGCGCCCUAAUUAUAAAAAAAAACUCUAAAUUUGAUUAGCUUUAACAAUUAUAUCUAAACAUUUUUCUUAAUAAAUGUACUUCAAAUUAUAGUGAUGGAAUUAAUUGUAGACUAAUGAUAGCUAGUUAAUCCAAAGAAGCCACAUGAUACUGCCACGUAUUAGAGUCGGGUGUUUUGAUUAGCCUAGCUGGACGAUCCAACCAGUGUUGUACAUGUGGUUUAUGAAGGAGAACCGGGUCAAGAAGCCGAUGGGGUUUGACUAAUUUUGGCACUCUAAUGGUUAAGUUAAUGAGAGUUAUAAGGAAAAAUAUUAUAGAGUAAAAAAAUGGAAAGAGAACUUAAAAGGAUUUGCUAAAUGUAAAAGUCAUAUUCUAUAUAUGCCUAAUAUAAGUGUAUUUAUACCUGCAAGGUAUUUUUUAUAAUUUAAUUAUUUUAAAUUAUUCAGAUUAACGAUCGACUUUUUAAUUCUAUUAAAGUGAAUACAACAAGUAGAAGUGUACACUAUUUUUUAUUACAAUGGAAUAAUUAAAUUAAAUUGAUAAAUUUUAAUUAUUUUAAUAGAUGAAGUGCGGUUGAAUUAUUAAUUAAUAAUUUUUUUAUUAUUUAUUUUAUUAUCUCUCGAAUAUUUGAAAUAAUUGAAUUUUUAUUAAAUAAUAUAUUUAAUUAUAAUUUUAUUAAUAAAAUAUUAUUUAUAAUGAUUAUUUUUAUAAUUUUAUUAUUAUUAUUAAUUUUAUAAUAAUUAUUUUAUUAAAAUAAGUUAUAUUUUUUAUUAUUUUUAAAAUUAAAAAUCAUCAUUGUAUAUUUUUAGCUCAUAUUUAAUGAAUCAACAAUAUGAAUUUUUUUUUUUUCGUUUAUAAUCAAUGACAAAUCAAACAUAUCGAUUAGUUUGAUUUGAUUUUUUUUAAAAUUUUAGUUUGAUUAAUAUUUUAAGAGCCAAAAAAUUUUAAUUUAGUUUGAUCAGUUUAUUCAAAUGCUCACCCUAAUAACAAAUAUGAUUAUUAUUUCAAAUAUAGCGAAUCAUAAAUUAUUAUUGUUAAUUGUUAUAUAAAUUUAUAUAUAUAAAUUUUAAUAAAAAUUUUAAGGUGUAGAAAAUUAUUAAAUAAGAAAGUAAUCUUUUUAAAAAUGACUAAAAUAUUUUUCAUAAAACAGUCUUAAUCAAAAUAAGAUAUAAAAUUACUAUUUAUAAUUAUAAAAAGAAAUCACCCAACUUAUAAACAAAUAUGAGAACAUAUUUUUAAAACUUAUAAAUUAAUUUGAGCAAUUUAUANNNNNNNNNNNNNNNNNNNNNNNNNNNNNNNNNNNNNNNNNNNNNNNNNNNNNNNNNNNNNNNNNNNNNNNNNNNNNNNNNNNNNNNNNNNNNNNNNNNNNNNNNNNNNNNNNNNNNNNNNNNNNNNNNNNNNNNNNNNNNNNNNNNNNNNNNNNNNNNNNNNNNNNNNNNNNNNNNNNNNNNNNNNNNNNNNNNNNNNNNNNNNNNNNNNNNNNNNNNNNNNNNNNNNNNNNNNNNNNNNNNNNNNNNNNNNNNNNNNNNNNNNNNNNNNNNNNNNNNNNNNNNNNNNNNNNNNNNNNNNNNNNNNNNNNNNNNNNNNNNNNNNNNNNNNNNNNNNNNNNNNNNNNNNNNNNNNNNNNNNNNNNNNNNNNNNNNNNNNNNNNNNNNNNNNNNNNNNNNNNNNNNNNNNNNNNNNNNNNNNNNNNNNNNNNNNNNNNNNNNNNNNNNNNNNNNNNNNNNNNNNNNNNNNNNNNNNNNNNNNNNNNNNNNNNNNNNNNNNNNNNNNNNNNNNNNNNNNNNNNNNNNNNNNNNNNNNNNNNNNNNNNNNNNNNNNNNNNNNNNNNNNNNNNNNNNNNNNNNNNNNNNNNNNNNNNNNNNNNNNNNNNNNNNNNNNNNNNNNNNNNNNNNNNNNNNNNNNNNNNNNNNNNNNNNNNNNNNNNNNNNNNNNNNNNNNNNNNNNNNNNNNNNNNNNNNNNNNNNNNNNNNNNNNNNNNNNNNNNNNNNNNNNNNNNNNNNNNNNNNNNNNNNNNNNNNNNNNNNNNNUUCGGCCGCCGAAAGUGUGUUUUGGGUCUGCCUCCGAAGCCUAAAGUUCGGCUUCCGAAAGAGAGGAACAGAGACGAAAGUCACCCAAGUUCGGCCGCCGAAAGUUCUUUUUUAAAGGAAUAGUUUCUUCACCUCAAAUGGUUCGGCCGCCGAACUCUAAGCUUAGGCCGCCGAACCUGAGUUUUCUGGGCACGGUAUAACGGUUAUUUUUUAACAAAAACGGCUCUAUUUGCAUUUAAUGCAUCCCCAACGGCCAUAUUUAUGAUAGAACUAUAAAUACAACUUGCUUUUGAUGUGAAGAGGUUACAACAACCAUCUAAGCAAAUAUUUAUUGAGAUUACAGCAUUUUUCAUUCUCUCUCUCUCUCAAAACCUUGAGCCAAAGCAUUGAUUUCUUGAAAGCUUGUUUUGAGUUGUAAUUGAUUGGCUUCUCUGAGUGAGUAAAGGUUGAUUGAGAGAUUCUGUUGUUGUGAGUGUGGCAUUGAGCAAAGAAUUGCUCUUGAGUUGAAAAAGAGAUUUGUAAAGAGCAAAGACUUGCUCUAAGAUUGUAAGGGUUUUGAUCUUCACCCAAAGAAGAUUUGAUAGUGGAGUUGAACUCUCAAGUGGACCUUGAGGAGAGGACGUAGGCUUGGAUAGCUGAACCUCUAUAAAUCUUUGUGUUGAUUUUUUUCUCUUCCCUAUUCUCUUCUAAUUUCUUGUCUUUGCCAUUAAAUUUUUUAUAAACCCAAUUCACCCCCUUUUGGGUUGCCUCAAGGAACAACAAAUAUAUUAUAUAUAGAAAUAUUUAAAAUAUAAAAAAUAUUAUAUAUUACUCAUUCGUUUUAUAAUUUUUAUUUAUUUUACUUUUUUAUAUAUAUUUAAAAAAUAAUAUUUUAUUAAUUUUUUAGUUAUAUUCAUCUUAAAAAUAUUAAAUUAUUAAAUAUUAAAAUAUAUUUUAAAUAUUUAUUUAAAAAAAUAACGAUUAAUGAAAUGGUCUUUUAAAAAUAAGAAAAAAUUAAAAAAGUUAUUAUAAUGUAAAAAUAUAAAAGUGAAUAAUAAUUUUAAAAUAAUUGAAAAAGAUAAUAAAAAUUAUAAAACUGAGAGAAUACCAAUUAAUAUAAAAUAAUAUUGCUAUUAAAAAAUUAAUUGUGAUUAAAGUUUUAUUUGUUUGUAAAAGAUAAUUUAUAUUUAAAAUAUUUUUUAAUAAAAUAAUUUAUUUUUUAUAAUUUAAUUAUAAUUUAAAAAAUAAAAUUUAUUAAAAAAUUUAUAUAUCCAGAAGUUAAUAAAUAUGUCAUGACGUAAAAAAUAACUUAAUUUUUUCAAAUGAGAAAAUUAAUUUUUUUAAAAUGAUUUAUUUUUUAAUAAAAAAUAUUUUUUAUUAACUAAAAUUUUUAAGUAUUUCAAACAGAAAAAAAAUAUGAAAAUAAUGUUUUUCAUAAAACAAAGUUUAAGCAAUUUUAGAAAUAAUGGUUUAAUUUUUUAAAAAAUAGAUAAUUAAUGUUUAAAUUCUUAACUUGGAUUCUUGAAUUUUUUUUUUUUUAGUUUAAUAAUGGUUUACACUUAAAGAUAGACUAUUACAGCUUUUCAAAAGUGAUACAAUUUGCAUGAUGUUGAAUGGAUUUUUUAAUUGUUAAUUUUAUAAAGAUUUCGUAUUAUUAAUUAAAUUUAUUUUCAUGGAUGAACAAUAUUUUUUCUUUCAUAAAGUUAGUGUUUUUUUUAAUAGAAACAGAAGUCAUAAAAAAAUUAAUCUUUUUUACAUUAUGGUGAUUUAAUUUAAAUUUUUUAAUUUUUAAUAUCACAAAUCAAAUUCUCAAAAGUUUUAGGAUUUUAUCUAAAUUAAAAAAAAAAUGGAAAAAGUGUCUGAUACUUGUCAUUUUUUGAUUUUUUUUCAUAAAAUUCAUAUGUCUACAAGUCAAUUAUUAAAAUUUUCAAUUAAAUUAUAAAACAGUGUAAACUUUUGGCUUGUUUGUGUCAGACCUAUUUUAAAAAAAAUAUUAUAUCGCAUAUUAAGUGAAAAAAUAACACAAGUUCUAUAACACAUUUUUCUUAAUUUUAAAAAUAUAAGGAUUAAAGUGAAAAUUUUAUUAAAUUAUAAAGAUUAUACUAUAAUUUACUCAUUCUUUUAAAUAUUCAAAAACAUCGCCAAAAUAAUACAUAGAACAUGAAAAAAGGAGCGGAAAAAACAAUCAUGCUCUAAAGAAGAAGCACAUCGAUAUUUCCCCCCUCGUCCGAUAAUCGGGUCCUCCGGUGUCAGCUCUUUAGGCCAUAGCUGCGAAAAAUACAGAGAGAGAGAGCGCAGUAAUUUGUAUUUCUCUCCUCUCACAUCUACUCCACUCAUCCAUACGUCUCUCUCCAUCUUCUUCAUCUCCUCAAUCUCCUCAUCAAGCAGUUUUCUUUCUUAAUUUCAGGUAUUUUGCGCCAUAUGUUUUCUCUUUUUCGUUCUCUUUUUAUUAUCUUUUUUUUAUGAUUUUGUCUAUUAGGUUUUCUAGCUGCGAAUUUUGAAACUUCUUGAUAUGGGUUUUCUGUGUUUCUGAUGAAUGGGUAGCUUCUUAACUGAAAUUCUCGCGCUUUUCUUCUUUCAUUGUGAUUUUGCAAGCCCUAGGUUAUUUACGCAUUUGUAUAUAGGGGAUAUUUGAAUCCUUUGAUUUCUGUAAAGGGUGAGAUUGAGAAUUGUGUUUUCGCAGCAUGAUUAAGGUUCAAUAAUUUUAUGGACUUCUGCUUAUUUUGUUUUGGCAGUGAAUUUUGCUCAUACGAAGUUAACUUGGGCUAAAUUAUUGCUUUUCGAUGGUUGGUGGUGAUAAAUAGCUGUUAAGGUGCAGGGUGCACCGAAGUGCCAAGAGUCUUGAGCCUAGGUGGAGAUGCAAAAAGAAGAAAAAUUCAUCAAAAAUCAAAUAAAUGUAAAUAAUUUAUCAAAAUUCAGAUAACAUAAGAUAAUUAUUUAAAUUUAUCUGCUUCAAGGUUAUAGUUUGCUACCUGAUAAAAUUUUACCACAAAUCAUAUACAUUUAAUUUUAUCUUUAUUAUCUUUAAACAAUAUGAUGUGAGAAAAGUAGUUAAAGAGACAAGACAUACAGUUAUUUCACGUUAAUAUUUUCCAUUGUAAAUUCUCCAACUCAUAAUUAGCAGAACUGAAUAUUCUACAAUUUGGAUUUCUGCUCAAUUCAAUGGCAGUAAUAGGAAAUUUUCUGCCAACAAAAAACUAUUAAAAAGUUAUAGGGAUUUUGAAUUGUUUAUGCAGUGAUUCAUCUGGGUCAGUAAAGAAUGGAAAGACCAUUUAAUAAAUUUCAAUGCUGUGCAUAUGAUGUGAAUUCAGGGUUCAUGUAUUCAUGUGGCCUUUCUAGAUGCAGCAGGUGUCGGUGGCCUGGGAUUUCUAUUCCAUUCUUCCUUCUUAUGGGUGCAUUAGAAUUCUAUUAACUAAAUUUUGAACAAGGUCACAACAUCAAUUGUCUAAGCCAUUGCUGUUGUAAUGGAAAAAAAGGAAGUAGGUUUACUCAAUUUCAUAAUUUUAUAAAUUUUAUAUGAAUUUAGUCAAUAUAUGCUAAAUAUUUACCCUUCCAAGUUCCAACACUUGAAAUAACUAGCUCUAGAGAAGAAAUACAUGAGUUACAUAAGAUAUUUGGUGUUCACCACUAAAAAAAUUUACAUUUUACCUUGUUCUGCAAUGUUCUUGUAGUGACACUUCUACCAACUUGAAGAUUAGUGAGAAUCUUGAUAAAAUUAAACUUUGGGAAUGAAUUUGGGUUGUGANNNNNNNNNNNNNNNNNNNNNNNNNNNNNNNNNNNNNNNNNNNNNNNNNNNNNNNNNNNNNNNNNNNNNNNNNNNNNNNNNNNNNNNNNNNNNNNNNNNNNNNNNNNNNNNNNNNNNNNNNNNNNNNNNNNNNNNNNNNNNNNNNNNNNNNNNNNNNNNNNNNNNNNNNNNNNNNNNNNNNNNNNNNNNNNNNNNNNNNNNNNNNNNNNNNNNNNNNNNNNNNNNNNNNNNNNNNNNNNNNNNNNNNNNNNNNNNNNNNNNNNNNNNNNNNNNNNNNNNNNNNNNNNNNNNNNNNNNNNNNNNNNNNNNNNNNNNNNNNNNNNNNNNNNNNNNNNNNNGUCACGAUGUAAAAAAAUAACUUAAUUUUUUCAAAUGAGAAAAUUAAUUUUUUAAAAUGAUUUAUUUUUUAAUAAAAAAUAUUUUUUAUUAACUAAAAUUUUUAAGUAUUUCAAACAGAAAAAAAUAUGAAAAUAAUGUUUUUCAUAAAACAAAGUUUAAGCAAUUUUAUAAAUAAUGGUUUAAUUUUUUAAAAAAUAGAUAAUUAGUGUUUAAAUUCUUAACUUGGAUUGGGGCGAGUGUGGUUAUGCUUAUGUUGCAUGACAUAUUAUUAAACAUGAGACCCAUUUGACACCUAUGCGAACUUUGCAACAUAGAAAAUUAAAAUUAUUUUAAUCAAUUAAAAAAUUUUUAAAAAUUAUUUUAAUGAAUUAAACUAUUCUCUUCACCAUCGCUGUCUUAGUUACUCGUCCUUGUUUCCAGUAACUUGUUGCCAUCUCACUCACCCACAUCCUCAAGGCCAUAAGUUUUUUCUGCCCUAGGUCUCAAUAUACAUCACACAUCCUGGAUCAAGUAAAAACUCUAAGUUUCCAGCUACAUUCAUUUCAUUAGGAAUUGAUAAUCUUUAACAAUACCUUCUAAGGGAUGGCUAGUCCAAAAUGCUGAACAAUAUAGUUUGAUUUUGAAAAAACACUAUCAUUAUGAAAAUGUACACUCAGUAGAAAAAUUAUGCCAAUCUAUUGAGAUAUGGUAUGCUAGUGAAUAUUUGUUACAAGAAAUGAACCUGAAUUUUAGAAUGACAGAACUCUUUAAUUCAGUUUAUAUAAUGUCUUUUUUCAGAAGCUAGGGAAAAUACAUAUCAAGUACACCAAUUAGUAGGCAUGAGAUGCUUAAUAUCUAUCCACAAGGACAAAUGAUUGAUUUACUCAUUCCCAGCAAUUUACGCGAUGAAGAUGAUUUCUCAACUUAUUGGGUUUUGUUUGAUCUAUGCAUCAUGGAAUUUUUUGGAUAUUUAUUAUUGAGCAAAAUUGUUGGCGUCUUUGUGGAUGGAGUUUUUCCUUUGCAUUGAUUUUUAUUGAGCAAAAUUGUUGGCUCAUUUCAUCUAUCCAGUGGAUAUUACCCAAACAUCUAUCAAGUCUUUGCCAGAUUUUAUUCUCCCCAGCUUGGUUGUUUGUCUAUGUAAAAAAAAUAUCCUUUCGUGCACACCUCUACCAACCUUACAUUCUCAAUACGUUCUUUAAAAUUCUCAUCUAGAUUCAUAGCUUCAUGUCCUCCCAACCUUUCACUUACAAAAAGGGUAGUAUUAAAAUCACCUUGCACUAGCCAUGCUCCUUUCAUACCAUUCAAAAUAUGCUCAAUCCUUCCCCACAAACUUCUCCCCACCAUACUAGUGUUACUUGCAUGCACAACUAUCAAAGAAACCUUUUACCCUCCACCUCAACAUGAGUGUGAAUAAGUUGAUCAAUAGCCAUAAUUACAUGCAACUCUAUCCAAUGCACAUCAAAACACACCAUACCACAUCCCAUCUACACAAUCUCAAGCCUUUGAACAUUUUCUUUAUUACACUCCCUAACUCUUGUUUCCAAAAUUGCUACUACCUUUAAUUGACACCUAAUAAUCAGAGAGUGAACGUCUGACUGCUUUUUAAGGUCAGGCCAUCUCCAACCCUAUGCACCAUUUUUUGCACUAUUUUAAUGCUUUACACUAAAAUGGUGCAAUAUUCUCUCCAACCUUCUGCAUCAAUUUUAACACCAAAAAAAUAUUAUAUUCAUAUUCUUCUCUCUCCUUAAUAUUAUAUUAUUUAUUUUACUUUAAUUUUAUUUAUAUAUUUCAUUCAAAAAAUUCAUAUAAUUUUAUAUAUUCACUCUAAAUAUUUAUAUAUUUUAUAUUUCCAUUCAAUAUUUAAAUAUUUAAUUAUUUUAUAAAUAAACAAAAAAAAUUUCAAUAAUUGUGAAUAUAUUAAUUUAAAUUAAAUUUCAAUAAUUAUAAAAAUAUAAAAUAAAUUAAAAAUAUAAUAAAUUAUGAGAGUGAAAAAAAAUUAUACUUAAUUAAAAAUAUAUAUAAAUUUUAAAUUAUAUUAUAACUUAAAAAAAUAAAAAAAAUAAAAAUUUUAAAUUAUAUUAUAAAUUUAAAAAAAAAAAUAGCGCUGCUACAGUGUCACGCCAUGACACUGUAGCGGUGCGCCAAAAUCCCAUAGGAUUUUGGAGUGCGUUGGAGGGCCAUCUCCAAUGCCAAAAUAGAAAUUGGCGCAGCGUUGAAGAUGGCCUCAUUAAGACCCCUUAUAUUCUAGGAGCCAAUCAUCCCCUUUUGAAAGGGGAAAUAAUCACCCUUCCCAUUCCCUCCCUCCAUCUCCUUUUUCUAAUCUAUGUGAUGUUACAAUCUCACGUCUAGCCACACUCUCCCCCUCACUAUUGUUAGAACUAAUAACCCCCACUUUACUUUUCUCUUUAAUUUUUGCCGCCUCAAUCCUUUUCUUGUGUUCAUCUAUCUCACUAAAGUUUUCCCCAAACCCCUCCUCCGCACACUUCUGAUUAGAGAUCACCUGUUUCCCCUCAUUAUUUUCUUCCACCUUUCUAACCCCAUCCUUGCAUUUUCCUUGUCCCCUUAUUUAGCCCAUGAUCUAGAAUAGGAUGCCUUAUGCCUAAAGCCCAUGCAAUUUAUAUAUCUAAUAGGUUUCCACUCAUAUACAAUUUUUUAAUACAAUUGUACACUAUAUUCAUCUUCAAAGAAGAUUUCAUUUGGCAAACCACCAUUAAUUUUCAUCUCAAUCAACAUUCUAGCAUAGCCCAAUUUCAAUUUCUCAGAAGUACACCAAUUUGAAAAUAAUGGCUUACCUAGAGUACUCCCAAUUCUGCUGAGCAUCUCAAAAAACCAAAAUUCCCAAGGUAAAUAUGGGAAUUGGAACCAAACCGGUAACUUCUACAAUUUAUCAAUCUCCAUCGUCAUUCUAGGUUGCCAAGGCACUAGUAUAAACGGUUGCCUAUUAAAAGUAUAUGGUCCUUCCUCCAUAACUAAAUCUCUCCCUUCCUCACUAUCAAAUACAAACAAAAAUACAUUUGUUUUCACCAUUUGAACAGUCCUCAAACCAUGCCUCCUCCAUUUAUUCAUAGUAUAUUUCUCUAUCCAAAUAAAUCUAGGGGCAGCCCUAAUGACACUUCCAAUAAGAGCAUUCCACAAUUUUUCUUCCUCAGAUUUCAACUCAGCAUUAUGGACUUUUACUACCUUAUUACCAUUGGAAAUUUAAGGUGGAACAUAUCUAAACUCGGAUUCAGGUUUCUUAGAUCGAUUGCUCACCAUUUCUGCCCAAGAUUUCCUCCUUGGGUCACCUUCUCUUCCUUGCAUGACUGUUGUCUCUCCCCCCUCCCAUUGAUGCCAUUUGGUUCAUCGUUCAUCUCUCUGUUCCCACUGGUCGGCGAUCUAGUUCCUCCGAUCGGAGCUCAAUUUGCGUUGCAGCUUCAACAAACCCAUUUCGCAUAUUUUCUAUCCUCUAUUCAACUGCAUCUUCACCCUCAAGACUGCCGUUUGUUUUGUCCCUCACCACGUCUUCCACCGUCUUCCCAGUCGCUAGUGGUCGCCGACUGAAGCCAGACCCGCACUGAUUCUUCCUCCUCAUUCCAAAAGCGGCAUGCUCAAAAGUGCUAUUUUGGGCUGCGAGAGAGAGUGGAGCGAGAGGCUUUGUUUGCUAUCUAAGUGUUGUUUUUCCUUUAAUCUCCGAUCAAUGUUUUUAUAACAUUGAAAGUUGAUUUGAUAUCUUUAUUUGUUCCUCGCCACAUAAACUCUAUUAAUUUCUUUGUUAUAUUUGAUGAUAUAUAAUUAUAUACUAUAUAUUGUUAUGUAUCUCAUCACAAUUCAAGAUUUUUGUUUUUUUGAAGUAAUCGGUAGAGUGAGAAUUGAGUAAUAUAAGAUGAGUCAUAUCCUUUCGAUCACUAGACCAAACUAAGCUUAGGCUAGUUUAAAAAUAUUAGAAAUAUGGAACUAUUAAAAUUUAGUUUAAAAAUAAACCAAUUGGCUUAAAGUUUUGGACUAAAAAUGAUAUAAAGUCCUUAAUUACAUGUGUGUACCUUUUUACAAGUCCAUCAAGAAAGGAUUAUCUCCAAGCAACAUUGGACUCUUUGAUCACCACAAGAGGCAUCAGAGUCGAUUGUUUGAUAGGGACAAUUACAGAGACGAUGGUUGUGAUUCCCAUACUGCUAUGGAACAACCUUACUCAGAGGAAAUUAUAUAAUGAAACCGGUUGUAUUAUAUAAAAUUGUCCAUACAAUAUAAUAAAUUAAUAAAAAUAAUUAUUUUUUUAUUUAUAUAAAAAUAGUUAUUUUUUGUGUAAAAAAAAUUACUAGUUAAUUACUAUAUUUUUAAGGUUCAUUUAUUCAUUACUAAGUUAUAUUUAUAUAAUUAUUUAUUUUUUAUUAGUUUGUUAUAUCAUGUAGACAAUUUUAUAGAGAUAAGUCUAAUUAAAUCCAUAUACUUUUAUUUAAGGGUUCAAUAAGUCUAAUUUAAAACUUUGAGUUAAUUAAGUCUCUGAAUUUUUUUAAGAGCCAAAUAAGUUUUAACAUAAUAUAAAAUUAUUUUUUUAAUAAUAAAAUAUUAUUUUUUAUAAUUUAAAAUAUCGAAAAUUUAAUAUUUUAAUUAACAUAAAAAUUUAAAAAUAUAUACAGAUAUAAUAAAUAAUUUUUAAAAUUAAAAAAUAAAAUUUUAUUAUAUAAAAAAUAUUUUUAUUAUAAAAAUAAUAUUAUAUUAAGUGAUAGUUUAUUUGAUUUUUGAAUAACAAUUGAUGAGUUGCAAAAUUCACAUUUUUUUCCUCAUUUAAUUUCUUGAUUUUUCUGUAAUUUUGAUAUAAAUAUUUAUAUUUUAAUUUGAAUUUGAUUUUGAACAGGUUAGUGAGCAGAAGUUGAGAAAAUGAAGGAAAAAAGGCUGAAAAUUAAAGGAUUUUUAUACUGGGAAGCUACAAUCGAUGGGAAGAUAAAUAUAGAUUUUGCCACCUAAGCAAUGAUAAGAUCAUAUUCAAAUGGGUCAAGUUGAAACAAACUCAAUCAGAUGAGGAUAGAGAUAAGAUGAUGAUAGAGAUAAGAUAUGAAUAAUAGAUUUUAUUUUAAUUAUUAAGUUUUAUCUUUUUGUGCCUAUAUAAAGGCUCCUAGCAUUCAACCUAGGGUACGGAUUCUAUUUCUCACUCUCAUUUCCUCUCUUGUUGUUCUCCCACCUUCUUCUCCAUUUUUCCUUUUCUUCUUCUUUUACUUAAUUUUUAUAAUUUCAUUAUGGCCAUGAGUGGCUAAACAUUUAUUUUUCAGUUGAAGGUUAAUUUAAUUUGAGGUUUGUUCAAGUUGUGAGGUUAUAUGUUUUAAUUCUCUUCAUCUUAUUUUCUAUUUUCUAUUAAUUUCUGUAUUCGAGGAACACCACCUCCAUUGUUGUUCUCUUGAGAAUUCAAGGGGCCCAUUGAAUCUCUUGGGAAGACAACAUAUUGCUAAUUAAUUUAAUUAAAUCCGUAAUUGUUUAAUUGGAUUAAUAAUAAGUAGCAAUUAAUAUAUUAGUUUAUAUUAAGAAAUUAAUAGAUUUGAUUUAAAUAAAACGCGUGUUUUUAUUGAUCAAGUUUGGGUUCUUCUCUCUUAAUGCAGUUGACUAAUUAAAUCUACACGCGUGUUGGGGUUGUUAGUUAACUAGGAAUUAAUUUAAGCGCGAAGCGGAUUAAUUUAUUCAUAAGGAAGAAUUGGUGGGAUUCGCGUGUUUGACCACUAUAACUAAACAAUAGAUAAUAAAAUGAAUUAUUUUUUUUAAUCAAUGAUCAACUGCAAAUACCUCAAUUUGAUUGCCUUCAGCUGAAAUUUUUUAUUAAUUAGUUGUUUCUAAAUUUUCAAUUACAUUGUUCAUUUAUUUAUUUUCUCUUAAGUUUAUUUUUAUAGGCUUGCCCAAGGUACAACCAUUUUCAUAGAAAAGAAAAAUCUCUUCUCACUUUUUCAUUAAACUAUUUCUCUAUUUCAAUUUGGUCAUUUAAAUUAAACAGUUUUAAGGUCUCUGUGGGAUCGAUACUCACUCACCCUAUCUUCAAGUUCUUAACAAUCAAGAGAAGGGAAGUAAAUUUAAAUUGACGGAUUCGGCACCCGUCAACAAUAAAAGACUUAAUUGGUUAAAAAAUUUAAAUUAAAAUUAUUUAGCCCUUAAAUAAAUGUAUAAGGUGAUAACUUUUUUGAAUAACAAUAAAAGAUUCAAUUUCACAGUUACCCUACCCGUUUACAUCCCUAUAUUGAAGGAUUGUCCUUAAAUGCAUUGCGGAUUGAGAAUUGGGAUCGAGAAUUGAGAGAGUAAAAUCGAGACCUUUCAAAUUUAUUUAGAUGCAUUUAUCAUAAAAUUAAUUUUAUGAGUCUAUAACUUUUUUUAAAGGUAGAUAAUAGAUUUAUUGAAUAACUAUACAUUUUUCUUUUUAGUUUUUUUAUACAAGUUAUUUCAACUUAUGUGAAAUUUUUAUUAAGAUAUGAUGAAGGAGUUGACUUGAAGUCAAGGUCCCUCAUAAAAAAACAAUGAAAAAUGAUAACAGUUUUCCCAAAUAAUAAGAAAAUAACGUAAAAGAAAAAAACGUUGCUUUCUUGUGGAAAAUAAUGGGAUUUGUUAAUGAAUAUAGAGGUGGAAGAAGAGGAAGACUUGGACUUUUGGUACAAAAUGACAGCUUUAAAACCAAAUUACACGCCCAAUAAACUUACACCACGUCAAUAAUAAUUAUAAUAAUAAUAAUUCAAUUUUAUUAUAUAAUUGAAUUAAUUAAAGUCUAGGUCUCCUUUAAAAUAUUAAAUUAAGAUCAAUAAUGGAGGGAGACUAGAAAAUACUCUUGACAAUUAAUAGUUAAGUUAAAUUUUAGUUUCUAAAUGUUAUAUAUAUUAUUUGUUUUUAAUUCAUUAAGGUGAGCUUUAUUUAUUAAAAACUUUUAAAUGUUUUUUUAUCUAAAUAUAAUUAUAUAAUGAAGAAUUCAAUUUGAUUGGUUAUUUAAAAGUUUUAUUAUAAUUUAAAAUAAAAAUAUAGAAUCCCUAUGAAGUUACACCAAUUAAAUAAAAAUUUAUUAUUUAUUAAAAAAAAAAGUGAAUGGAUAAAAGUUUGAAUUCAGGCAUUAUUUAAGGUUUGAAUUAAUAAAAAUUCUGUGUGGUUGAAUUUUUUUAAAAAUAAAAUUUAAUAACUGAGUCGAAUUUAAAGUUGUAAAUAUUCUGUUGGUUCAAAUUUAAAAUAUAUUUAUUUAAUAAAUUUAUAAAUAUAAAUAUUUAAUUAAAAGUAUUUAAUUUUUAAUUUUGAGAUUUAAUUUGAUAAAAAUUUAAAUAGUUUUUAUUAAUUUUUAAAAUAAAUUAAAUUAAAAUUUAUUAAUAUUGAACUCCAUUGAAUUCAAACUUGAAAAAAAUUAAUAAAUCAAAUUUAAAUUCCCUCCGCUCAGCUGGUUUAUCCAAAUGAAUUUAUUUUUUUUAUUUAUAUGUUUUUAGAAAGUAUAAAUGAAUAAAAAAACAUCCAUAUUAAGAAAAGUAAAAGAGAAGUUGCUUUCUUGUGGAAAAUUAAUGGAAGACCUUCAAAAUCGAAGGAUGCGCUCGCUAAACUUAUAGCAUAUCGUUGAAGGAAGAUGACAUUAAUUGAAAAAAAUAUAUUUUUUACUCAGAUGAUUUAAUUGAAUUACAAAACAUCCAAUGCCAUGUUGGGUCCUUGCCCUAUAUAUAAUAGGCCAAAGCUUGUGCAUUAAGAGCAAGUGUUUCUAUCAACUAGCUACCAACAUUAAAAAUGGAGGUGAUGAAGGUGUGCGGUAUGGUAUUCGCAAUGAUAAUGGUUUUAUUAUUACAAGGGAUUUGGUGCUCUGCUGAUUGUUGGGAGACUGAGAGAAUUGCUCUCUUGCAACUUCAUUCUCAUCUCAAUUAUUCUCUUCAACAUGAUUUUUACUAUGGUCCAUAUUCAUCCUUUUAUGAUUAUUCUACAUCUUCUCUGAAAAUUGAUGUUAUCAAGUGCUGUAAUUGGAGAAGAGUGAGAUGCAAUGCCACCACAGGGCGUAUUACCCAACUCAAUCUCGAGGGUAUAAGAGAUUUUUCCAUAAGAAUAUGGUAUCUAAACGCAUCUUUGUGAUAUCUAAACACUUCUUUGUUUCUUCCAUUUCAACAUCUCAACUAUCUAGACUUAAGGUACAAUCAUAUUGCAGGUUGCCUUAAGAAUAAAGGUUUGUAUAUUUAUAUCUUUCAUUAAGAUAAUUAUAAUUGCAUCGUGUUACAUAUGAUAGUCCAAAUUAAAUGAGUAUUUGAAAAUCCAUCAAGUUGCAUUUCAUACAUUUUCUUUCUCUUUUUAUUUAUAUAUGAUUAUAAUUGGUUUUUAUAUAUGCAGGUUUUCAAAUGCUGUCCUCACUUGAGAAUUUGAAAUUUCUUAAUUUAGGUUAUAAUAACUUCAACACUGAUAUUUUAUCAUCUCUAAUUCAUCUCUCAUCUUUGAAAUAUUUAUAUCUAGAUAGUAAUGACAUGAAAGGAAGAAUUAAUAUUGAAGGUGAGCAUGCAUAACUAAUUUUCUCUAUCAUUAUAUAUCAUCUCAUACCUUAUAUAUUUUUAAUUAGUUAUUUGUGAAUGUAGAAUUGAACAGCUUGACAAAUUUAAAAAGUUUGAGCAUAUCGUGGAACGAAAUUAAAAGUUUUAAGUUUUUGAAUGGUAAGUAUAAUUAUUUAUCCAUAAUAUUUUAUUUUAUUUUAUAUUUUUUAAAUAAGUAAAAUAAAAAAUUAAUGUAUAAAGAGUUUUUAUACAUGUUCAGGUGGUGAAGAAUUAUUAAAUAUGAACAAUCUAGAAUCUUUAGACAUGAGUGACAAUCACCUUCAAAAUGGCGCUUUAUCAUUUCUUAUGGGUCUCUCCUCUAUUAAAACUCUGCGGAUGAGUUAUAAUCAAUUGAAAGGAUCUUUUAAUUUAAAAGGUUAGAGUUUUUUUUCCUCUUUUUCAUUAAACUAUUAAUUGAUUGAAUUGUUCAUAUUUAUAAUUAUUAUUUUAAUUAUGUGUUCUUUCUUAUUAAUCAGAAUUGGAUACCAUGAGUAAGCUGGAGGUGCUAAGUUUGAGCGGAAAUAACAUUACAAAAUUUGUUAAUUCAAGAAGUAUUAAUUAGUCUAUUUUUUAAUAUUUUUUAUUAUUUUAAAUAAAGAAAUUUAAAACUGAUAUUUAGUUAGACAUUUAAUAAUAUUUAAAAAUUAUUAAAAUCUAAUAGAUAAGGAUACAUUGAAGCGUCUAAAUCAACCAUAGAUAGGGAGAUUUUUAAGCUAAGAAUGAAUUACGAUUCUUAACAUUUUUAUUAUUAUUUAUAAUCAAAAUUUUUUAUUAUAGAAAUUAAAACACAUAAAUUAUGUAUUUUUAUAAUGUUGCUCUCAAUUUUUUUUUCUCUUAUCACUGCUACUUGUCUAUAUAAAAAAAUUAAAAAAUAAUGAUAAAAUUUAUUAAUAAAAUUAUAAAAAAGUAUUUAAUAAAAUAAAUUAUUCAUAGUUUAUUAAAUUACUUCCCGAAAUUUUAGAGCUAAUAUUUUAGCUUUACGUAGUGUCUUAUUACAUUGUUUUAAUAUUGUAAUUAUAAUGUCUUAUUAAAAUACAAUUUUGCAUAUCAAUACAUUUUAAUUUAAUAAUAUUAUCUCUAUAAUUAUGAGAUUUUUAAUUCAAAUUAUUCUAGUUAAAGUUAAACAAAACAAUUGAUUAAAAAGAAAAUAAAAAUAUAUUGUGGUAAUGGUUCAUUAUUUUUAUAUUGAGUGAUUUUGAUAUUAAAACAAAUUAUAUAUUAUAAAAAUUUUGAAAUUUAAUAAUAAUUCUAGUUAAACAAAAAAAAUGAUUAAAAAGAAAAUAAAAUUAUAUAGUGGUAAUGGUUCAUUAUUUUUAUAUUGAAACAAAUUAAAUAUUAUAAAAAUUUUAAAAUUUAAUAACAAUUUUUUUAUAAAUAAAUUUGCAAUCUGAAAUACUAUUUUUACAACAAUUUCACUAUUCUUUUCUAAUUUUAAAAUUUUUAACUUUAAGUAUAUUAAUUUUUUAUUUUUCAAAUAUUUAUAGGAUAAAUUACUCACUUAAUAUUAUUAAAAAGUGAUUGUUAUAUAUAUUUAUUUCUCUUUAUUUAUGCCAUUAAAAUUAUAUGACUAUUCAAAUUUUAAACUUUAAGUUGAAAAAAAAAAAAGCCCUAUGAAUAAUAUUUAAAUUAUUUAGUGACUUUCAUAAACUAUAAGACUUAAAAAAAAUUGAAAUUAAUAAAUUUUAAUGGAUGAAUUAGUGAACAAAAUAGGAGAUGAUUAGUUAAUAUUAUUAUUUUUAUGUUUAUAUUAUACUUUCUUAAGCAAUUAUUUUUAUAAUAAAUCUAUCAUAUUCAUAAAUAGAUAUAUUUAUUAACAGUAUAAAAAUAAUAAAUUGAAUAUGAUUUACGUAUUGGUUAGUGUGCAGAUUUACCACAUUAUUGUUCUCUUAAUUUUUAAAAUUUAUUUUAAAUCUAGACCAUAAUUGAAUCACUAGAUUUGAAAAUAAUAAUAAUUGAAUUUUUUUAAAAAAAUCAUAAAUAAAUAUUGAAUAUAUUUAGAGAAAUUUAUAUUAUUUUUCACUGUUUUAUUAUUUGUAGGAAUGAGAAGCUUGAGAAAUUUAAGAGCGCUUUAUUUAGGUGGUAUAAUCACUAUAAAAGGAAGUAGCACUCUAUUAGAGUCAUUGGGAGCAUUGGCCCACCUAGAGAUAUUGGAUCUAAGUGGGAGUAACUUUGAAGGGGCAACAUUAUCAUUGGGAGCAUUCACCAAUCUCGAGACCCUAUAUAUGAGGUGGAGUGAUUUAAAAGGGAUGAGAUUUGCUCAAGGUUGGUAUUUUUUGUAGUUAUUUUUGUAAUUACUGCUUUUCAUUCAUUAAAAAAUUAAUUAAUAUUUAUUCAUUAUUCUUAAACAGACUCUAAUCUCACCAAUUUAAAAGAGUUAUAUUUAGAUGGCUCUUAUGUGAAUGGAAACUUCCUCCAAAGUCUUGAAGUACUUCCUUCACUUGAAACAUUAUCAAUGUGGGGAUGUGGACUUAGUGGUAUCAUACCUGUGAACCAAGGUAAAACUAAUGCAGUUUCUUUCUAUUUGAGAUCUCUUUCAUUCGCUAAAAACUUAAUUAAAAUUUAUUUAUCCUUUUUAAACAGACUCUAAUCUGACCAAUUUAAGAGAGUUAUAUCUAGAUGACUCUUCUGUGGAUCGAAACUUCCUCCAAAGUCUCGAAGCACUUCGUUCCCUUGAAAUAUUAUCAAUGCGGGAUUGUGGAUUUAGUGGUAUUAUACCUGUGAACCAAGGUAAAACAAAUGUAGUUUUUUCCUAUUUGAGAUCUCUUUUAUUUUAAUCACAAACUUUAGUUAAAAUAAUUUGUAAAGUCAAUCAUUUUCAGGCAUUUGCAAAUUGAAGCAUCUCCAAAUACUAGACAUUAGCUACAAUGAUCUCAGUGGUAACUUACCUUUGUGUCUAGCAAAUUUGUCUUCUCUUCGACAAUUAGACCUCUCUUUCAAUCACUUCAUUGGAAACGUCUCUUCAUCUCCACUUGGAGGUUUAACAAACCUCGAACAUCUAUCACUCUCAAACAAUCUUUUUCAAAUCCCAAUCUCAUUAAGUCCAUUUUUCAACCAUUCAAAACUCAAGUACGUGGAAAGUAGGGGUAACAAAAUAUUUGCAGAAGCAGAUGAUCAGUAUUUGAACCCAAGGUUUCAAUUAGAGAGUUUUGUUUUAUCUGAUGGUGGAUAUUAUGGAGCAUUCCCCAAAUUCCUUUAUCACCAGCAUAACCUACAAGUUGUUGAUCUAUCACACAAUCAAAUGAGAAAAGGGUUUCCAUCUUGGUUGUUACAAAAUAACACCAAAUUGAAAAAACUUUACUUAAUCAACAAUUCUCUGUCAGGGCCUCUCAAAUUACCAAUUCAUUCCCAUAUGAAUUUGUCAGCGUUGGAUAUCUCAGACAAUUUCUUCCAAGGCUUCAUCACACCAGAGAUAGGAACAUAUCUGCCAAGAUUGACAUAUGUAAACAUGUCGGGAAAUGGUUUCAGUGGUAGCAUUCCUUCUUCACUUGGAAAUAUGAGCUUGUUGGAACGUUUAGACUUAUCCAACAAUAGAUUGUCAGGUAAUAUACCAAAGGACUUAACCAUUGGUUGUGUCUCAUUGCAAGAACUCAUACUUUCAAACAACAGUUUGCAAGGCCAAAUAUUUUCUGAAACCUCCAACUUAAGGUUUCUGUAUGAGUUACAAUUGGAUGGCAAUCAAUUCACUGGCAGCAUUCCACAUAGCUUGUCUAACAGCUCCUUUUUACGAGUGUUGGAUCUUAGUCAUAACAACUUCAUUGGUAGGAUCCCAAGGUGGCUGGGGAACAUGUACUUUCUUCGCGUUUUGGAUCUUUCAAUGAAUAAUAUCUCUGGAAGUCUACCAUCUAACUUUUGCCCUUCAAAUAUACAAGAGAUUUAUUUGUCUAGAAAUGGGCUACAAGGGUCAUUGGAGGAUGCAUUUUAUGGUUGCUCUGAGCUAAUUGUAUUAGAUUUGGGCCAUAAUCGUAUGACUGGAAGCAUUCCAUCAUGGAUUGGAAAAUUUUCUCAAUUGAGCUACCUAAUCUUGGGGCAUAACCAUAUUGAUGGGGAAAUCCCAGUUCAAUUGUGCAACUUGACUCAAUUAAGUUUGCUUGAUCUUUCUCAUAAUCAUCUUUCUGGUCCCAUUCUCCCUUGCCUAAGAUCUACAAGCAACUCAUAUAGGCAGCAAGAAGGUUCAUAUAAUGCUUCUGCUCCUGUUUCUAUGGAUGAACCUUUGGAAUUCACAACAAAGAGUACAUCCUAUUCUUACCAAGGAAGAAUGCUAUCUUACAUCUCUGGAAUUGAUCUCUCGUGCAACCAUUUGACAGGCCAAAUUCCUAUUCAAAUUGGGUACCUCAAUGAGAUCCAUGUACUAAAUUUGUCUCACAACAGUUUGACAGGAAAAAUCCCAGCAUCAUUUUCCAACUUGCGCCAAAUUGAGAGCUUAGAUCUGUCAUACAACAACUUGGAAGGGAACAUCCCUCCUCAGCUUACUGAGUUAAAUUUUUUGGAAGUUUUCAAUGUGUCAUAUAAUAAUUUAUCUGGCAGGACACUUGAUAAGGUUGCACAAUUUGGGACAUUUGAUGAAAGCAGUUAUCGAGGAAAUCCUUUUCUCUGUGGAUGGCCACUGCCAAGAAAUUGUACUGAAAUGGUAUCAACUCCAUCAAAAUCAAGAACUUCAAUUGAGAAUGAAGAAAGCAAUGGCUUCAUGGACAUGGGUGUUUUCUACAUAAGUUUUGGGGUGGCUUACAGUAUGGUGUUGUUGACAAUAGCUGCAGUUCUAUACAUAAAUCCGUACUGGCGACGAGUAUGGUUUUACUUCAUUGAGGUGAGUAUAGAGAAUUGCUAUUAUUUUAUAAUCGACAAUCUUGUAGUUUUAUCCAAAUUUAGAUUUUGUAGCUUACGCAGAUGAAUUCAUCUUGAAAGUAUUCUGCAAGUUUUUUCUUUUUCUGUAGUUUCAAUUGACCUCGAGAUUGAAUCUCAAGCAGUGAUGUAAAAUGUGUGUUUGAAAUGCUAUAUUUACACCCAACAUUGAAUUUGCUUAAAUCUCUUGUUUUUUUUUCCAACUAAGCUUUCUCAGUCCAAAUAGUCUUUAUUUUAAGGAGAUUGGUUGCAUUAUUUCUGUAGUGUUGCUAUCCAUGCUUUAGAAAAAAGUCUUUGCAAUUCCUACUUUGAUGUUCUAUUAUGUAUUGCCUAUAAAAUUUUCAAAAAUUCUGAAUAAAUGAAUCAAUGAAAAAUCUGUACUAAGCUGAAGUUGGUACCAUUCCUCCCUAAGGUGAAAAUCUCUCUCAACAAGACACAAGACACAAUCCAAAACAUCAGAUUGCUAAUCCAAGCAACAAGCAAACAACUAUCUUUUAUUUAUACAAAAGCAAAGCAAACUCAGUCCAACUAAGACCAGCAUAGUUAGUAGCAUUAUUUACCUUCACAUGCUCACCCUACUCAAGGCUUAGCAAGCGCAUAUCUGUUUCUCUCCCCUCUUAUCUGCCUCACCUUCGAAAUUGGCAGUUCCGUCUCCCAUAGAAUUCAGGAGAAACUUCCUUCACUAGAUGGCUCUUCUAUGGAUGGAAACUUCCUUCAAAGUCUUGAACAACUUCCUUCACUUGAGCUUUUGUCUUUAGUUGAUUUGAAUUUUACCCUACCAAUCAAAGGUAGGUAAUUUAUUUCCUAACAUUUUAAAUUUGAGCAAGUUUAAAAAUUAACUUAAUGAAGAUGAGUGUCUAAAACUCGUAUAAAGAAAUAUUACCUAAACGUGAUAAAUUCUAAUAUCUAUAUUAAAUUUGAGUCAGAUCAAAAUCACAUUGAAAAAACUACUUAAAAAAGAUAAGUGAAGGGUGGAGUAUCUAAACUCUUAUAAGAGUCUUAUAGAGAGUAUUAUCCUGGGAUCCAACAAAUAUAUCAUUAUUUGUUUUUUUCCAUAUAUUUAAAUUUAUUAUUGAUUAAUUGAUAAUUUUUAUUAUUAUAGACUUGCCAUAUAUGUUGAAUUACUCGACGCUGAUCCAAAGUGUAGUGAAUAUAAUUUCUCUAUAUGAGAUAUAUUUUCUAUUAAUUAGAGAUUUUAGCUAAAUUAUUUAUAAAUGAAUAAUUUUAAGGUAUAAAUGCUAAAUAUUAGCAGCAACAACAUUGACAGUAGCUUACCAUUGUGUCUUGCAAAUUUGACUUUUCUUCAACUAUUAGAUCUCUCUUAUAAUUUUUUCAGUGGAAAUAUCUUUAUCUCCUUUUAAGAGUUUAAGAGCCCUUCAAUAUUUAGAUCUCUGAGCCAAUUUCUUCCUAUGUCACAAUCUCAUUGAGUCCAUUCUUUAACCAUUCAAAACUCAAGUACUUGUAUAGUUCGUGUAACAAAGUAUUUGCAGAAGCAGAUCAUCAGUAUUGGAAUCCUAGUUUUGAAUUAGAGAGACUUAUUCUAUCUAGUGAUGGAUACUGUAGUGCAUUCUCCAAAUUCCUCUAUUAUCAGUAUAACCUAAAAUUUGUUGAUUUGUCGCACAUUCAAAUGAGAAAAAGGUUUCCAUCUUGGUUGUUACACAAUAAUACGAAACUAGAAAUUCUUUUUUUCAAUCUCAUAUGAGUUUGUCAUGGUUGGAUAUCUCAUACAAUAGCUUCACUGGCUCUAUUCUGAUAGAAAUUAGAAAGCAUUUGCGAAUAUUGAGAUAUCCAAUGAUGUCAAAAAAUGGUUUCAGUGGUAGUACUCCAUAUUCGUUUGGAAAUAUGAGUUCACUGGAAAUUUUAGAUUUAUCCCACAACAAUUUCACUGGAAGCAUCCCAAGUAGCUUAUUAAAAUGUAACCAGUUGAAAAUAAUGGAUGUCAGUUAUAAUCAUCUCUCUGGUAAGCUUCCUAAUUGGAUAGGAAAUAUGUCUCAUCUUCAAAUUUUGGAUCUUUCACAGAACAACAUUUCUGGAAGUUUACCAUCCAAUUUCUGUCCAAGAGAUUUACAGAAGUCCAUUUGUCUAAAAAUAUGCUGCAAGGAUUGUUAAAGGAUUCAUUCUAUAAUUGCCCUUCAUUGGUGGUUUUAGAUCUUAGCCAUAAUAAUUUGAUUGGAAGAAUUCCAAAAUGGAUUGGAGAGAUUCCAUUGGGCUAUAUUCUCUUGAGUCAUAAUCAUUUUGAAGGAGAAAUCCCAAUUCAGCUAUGCAAGUUGGAUAAGUUAAGCUUGAUUGAUCUUUCUCAUAACAAUCUUUCUGGUCAUGUUCCUUAUUGCCUAAGCUGUAGUGGUAUUUUUUACCAAGAUGCUGGGAGUUCAAUAUAUCUUCAAUUGCCUGUGGAGUUUACAACCAAGAACUCUUCUUAUUUUUAACAACCAAGCAUCCUCCGCUACUUUUCGGGAAUCGAUCUCUCUUGCAACAAUUUGACAGGUGAAAUUCCUCCUGAAAUUGGAACUCUCAGCAUGAUCAAGGUAUUGAAUUUGACACAUAACAAGUUGAUUGGUGCAAUACCACCAACAUUUUCAAACCUGGGGCAAAUUGAGAGUUUGGAUCUUUCUUAUAACAAUUUGGAAGGGAAAAUUCCUCCUCAACUUACUCAGCUAUAUUCUCUAGCUGUAUUCAAUGUAGCACACAACACUAUCUGGCAAAACACCUGAGAGGGUUGCACAAUUUGCAACAUUUGACCAGAGUAGCUACGAGGGAAAUCCUUUGUUGUGUGGACUGCCACUGCCGAAUAAUUAAAGUGAAUAUAACGAGUUGAGGCGUGUAUCAAUCGACUUUUCAACUUAAUCAUUAGAUUAUUCUAUUAAGGAUCGAUUUUUCAAUUUUAUCAAAGUGAAUAUAAUAAAUUGAGGCGUGUAUUAUUUGAUUAUAAUUAAAUAAUUAAAUCAAAUCAAUAUAUUUCGAUUAUUUUAAUAGAUAUACUUUAAUUAUUUUAAUAAAUAUAUAUUUAGUGCAGUUCAGUUAUCAUCAAUUAAUGAUUUUUUAUUAUUCAUUUAAUAAGUUUUAGUUAUUUAUUUGAUUAUUUUAAAAUUAACCGAAAUAACUGAAUUUUUAUUAAAUAAUAUAUUUAAUUAUAAUUUUAUUAAUAAAAUAUUAUUUAUAAUAAUUAUUUUUAUAAUUUAUUACUAUUAUUAAUUUUAUAAUAAUUAUUUUAUUAAAAUAAGUUGUAUUUUUUAUUAUUUUUAAAAAUAAAAAUCAUAAUUGUAUAUUUUUAGUACAUAUUUAAUGAAUCAACAACAUGAAAAUUUUUUAUUUUGUUUUGUUUAUAAUCUAUAACAAAUCAAACAAUUCAAUUUUAGUUAGAUUUAAUUUCCUUUUAAAAGCCGAAAAAUUUUACUAUAGUUUGGUUAGUUUAUUCAAAUGCUCAUCCUAAUAACAAAUAUGAUUAUUAUUCCAAGUAUAGAUUAUUAUUUCAAGUAUAGAGAAUCGUGAAUUUUUAUUUUCCAAAAAUAAUAUAAUAAUGAUACUGUAUUGUUGAUUUUUAUAAGUUUGACCGUUAAACUCCAAUUUUUAUCUCUUUCUAGGUUUUUUUCAGAGAGUAAAACUCUUUUUUUUUUUUCUUUCGUGGUUGCUCGAGAGUUUAAUCUCUUAUUUUUUGUCGUCCUCGGUUUCCUUUUUUCCAUUUCCUUUUUCAGUGUCCGAAGUGUGGGUUCCUUUCCCACCUCCGACUAGUGGUUUUUUGGUUGUUUGUUUCUUCCUUCUUUUUAUUUUUUUUAUUUGAUUUUCUCCAGCAGACUUGUAAUUAUAAGAGAGAGUUUUUUUUAAUGUUUGCCAUUGUUUUUAAAAAAAAUAUUUUUUAUUGAUUAAUUUUUUUAUUUUCUUGAUAAAAAAUAUUUUCUGUUAACUAAAUUUUUUAAACGUUUCAAACACAAAAAAUAUGAAAAGUAAUAUUUUUUGUAAAAUAAAGUUUAAACAAUUUUACAAAUAAUGGUUUACAUUUUUAAAAAAUAGAUAAUUAAUGUUUAAAUUCUUAACUUGGAUUCUUGAAUUUUUUUUUUUUAAGUUUCAUAAUGGUUUCCACUUAAAGAUAGACUUUUACAGCUUUUGAAAAGUGAUACAAUUUGCAUGAUGUUGAAUGGAUUUUUUAAUUGUUAAUUCUAUAAAAAUUUUGUAUUAUUAAGUGAAUUUAUUUUUAUGGAUGAACAAUAUUUUUUCUUUCAUAAAGUUAACGUUUUUUUUAAUAGAAACAGUGGUCAUAAAAAAAAUUAAACCUUUUUUAAAUUAUGGUGAUUUAAUUCAAAAGUUUUAAUUUUUAAUAUCACAAAUCAAAUUCUCAAAAAUUUUAGAAUUUUAUCUAAAUUUAAAAAAAAAAUUAGAAAAAGUGUCUAAUCCUUGUCAUUUUUUAGUAUUUUUUUUAUAAAAUCCAUAUGUUUACACGUAAAUUAUUAAAAUUUUCAAUUAAAUUAUAAAACAGCACAAACUUUGGGUUUUUCUGUGCCAGGCCUAUUUUUAAAAAAUAUUAUGUGGCAUGUUGAGUAAAAAAAUAACACACAUUCUAUAAUACAUUUUUCUUAAUUUUUGAUCUUAAAUGUGAAAUAAAUAACUAAAAGUUAUUUUAGAUAAAAUAGAGAUUGAAAAAAAAAAAAAAAAAGAAGAAGAAGAAGAUAGAAGAAAGAGAAGAGCAGAAACAAAGUUUUGUCAGAGGAAAAUCGUUAAGGAUCCUUAUGGGUCUUUUCUUUUGGUUGGCAUUUGGUCCUUUUGAGAGGGGGAGAGAUGUUACAAACAGUAUUUUAUUCCUUUUCUCUUUCAGUGUUCUCCUCGCUCAGAUGGCCUUGGGGUGGUUAUUGUUUUCUUUUACUUUUUCCCUUUCUAAGUUUCACUGUUUCAUAGUGAGAGACAUUUUGUGGUAAACCUGUAUCUCGAAGGGUGUUCUGAUUGACUUCUGAAGAGUAUUAUCAAUCAAUAACAUUGCAUUUCAAGAACUAUUAUAUUGGGUCGCUUCCACUCUUGUUGGCCGAUAAUUGAUUGGAUUCUAUGCGUCUCCUUUUUGUUGUGAUCGAUGCCGUUUUACUAUUCAUAUGUCGUAAGUCUUCUUUCGCUUGCAUGUCGCUUGUCCGGUUGUUUUUGUUGAUUUCACUCCAAGCUCAUUUCUGUGACUGUAGUGCUCUGCUUUCUUAGUUAGGAAGGUGACCUUUGCGUUUUUUUAGUUAGGAAUGUGACUCUCUGCGUUUAUUGACUAUAAAUAGUGAGGUAGGUCAGUGUGUUGUCUUGAUCGAUUAUGUUCUUAUUCCUUGAUUGUACUCAUAGUGAUUCAAUAUUUUAUUUUGCUGUCUCUUUUUUUUAGUGUGUCAUGAAUGCCAUUGUCAAUAUUAUUUUUUAGACAGUACAGUGAAAUGAAACUCCGAUCAUCUCAUCUUAGUGAUUGUGUGUGACUUGAUUUAUUAUUUGGUGUUUCACAUAAUUUGAUUUAUUUAUCUUAUUAUUUUAUUUUGGUGUGUGAUUUUAAUUCUUUGUAAACCCAAUAUACACAUUGAUAAGAAAAAAUAAUAACUAAAAAAAUUAAAAAUUUGAAUGAAGUCGCCAAAGCCGAUAGAAGUGUAGGCCUUUCAUGUCCACAUAUUUUGGAUAAUUACAAUUUAAUCCUUAUAAUUAGUAAAAUCUCUAUUUUUUAAAUCUAUCUAUUAAACUUUAAAUAUUUAAAUAAACUUAUAAAUUAGUUUUUACCGUUAAAUUAUUAUUAAAAACUACCAUUAAUUUUUAAAAAAUAUUAAAAUACCCUUUGUUAUAUUUUUAAUAUAAAAUAAUUAACUCCUUAAACUUUAGUAAAGUUUUAAUCCCAUAGUUUAAAUAUUUAUAUAUUUUUUUACAAUUCACUUUAACACUUUUAGAUAUUAAUCUCUAGUAUAACAAUUAUUCGUGAGUAAACAUAUAAAUUUACAAAUUGAUCUCUAAUUGUUAUGCUUAUUUAUAAAUAAAUCCUUGUAUUUUUAUUAAUUAAUAACUAUAUAUUAUAAUUAUUUAUGAAUAAGCCCAUACAUUUCAUAAAAAAAUUCCUAAAGAUAAUUAUUUAUAAAUGAACCCUUUUUGUAAAUUUAUCCCCAAAUAUAUAAUUAUUGAUAAAUGAACAAAAAUUUUCAAAUCAAUCCCUCAUAUUAUAAUUAUUUAUGAAUAAGCUCAUGCUCUCACAAAUUAAUUUUUAGAUAUUACAAUUAUUUAUAAAUAAUCCAAAUAUUUUACAAAAUAAUUCCUAAAUUAUUAUUUAAUUUUUAUAAUAUAAAAAAAUUUAUUAAUUCAUUCAUUAAAUUUAAAAAAUAUAUUAAAAUAUUUUUAACGUUUAAAAAAUUUAUUAAUUAAUAAUUCAAUUAAUUAUUAUAAAAAAUUUAAAAUAUUUUUAGUAUUGAAAAAUUAAUUAAUAAUUUUUUUAAAAAUAUAUAGAACAAAUUAUUAAAUUUUUUAAAAUUAUAAAAAUUAAAUAAUAAAAUAUUUAACUAAAACAUCCACUAAUAAACUUUUAAAAUAUUUUAAUAUAUUUUUUAAAAUUAAAAAAAUAAUUAAUAAAUUUUUCUCUAAUAUAAAAAGUAAAUACGGUUGCUAUCACUACUUCUAUUACAACCAUCUGAACAUUGUUUCUACCAUUAACACUACUAAGUUAUUAUUAUUACUCUUUCUAAAUCACUGAUAUCACUAUUUAGCUAUCGAUUAUUAAAAUAUUAUAUAUUUUGUAAUUACAAUAUUAUAUUAUUUCAUUAUCACAUCAUAUAAUUGAUUCUAUGUUACUGUAUUCUGUUAAAGUCUUUACAUUUUACUUGUGACAAAGGAAAAGGGAAAAAAAUAAAAAAAAUUUACUUUUUAUAUUAUUAAUAUUUUUUAUAUUAAAAACAUUUCAUUUAUAAAAGAACAUAUUGUAUAGGAAAAAACAAAUUAUUCUCAAAUUUUGUGCUAUACCAUUUUCAUUGUUAAAAUUAAAUAAUUAUUUAAAAAAUAUUACUGUGCAAUAAUAAAAUUUAAUCAUAUUAUCCCAAAAUAAAUAAAUAAUACAAAUUAAAAGAUUAUAAAUGAAAUUAUAUAUGAACUUUUAUCAUUUCAUUACACAUUUAGGUUUUUAUUUUGAAAAAAAAAAUUACUUUUUAUAUUAUUAAUAUUUGAUAAUACUCAACUAAAUACUACGAAGAAGAAUAUAGUGAGGGUCCCUUUUCGAUGAGAAGUCUUGCUAUUCGUGGAAAAUGAUAACAUAUAAUUUUAAAUAUUAGAAAAAAUAUUAAAGACUUUGAUUAUGAUAGUUACAUCAGAGAAAUUUAGAUAAGCCAACAUUUUCAUAACUCCAAUAAAAUAUUUUAUAAAAAUUUAAUUUAUUAAUUAUUUAUAAUGAAAAAAUAAUAAUUUAGUUUUUAUUUUUUUAAAAUGAAUAGUUUUACUUUGAAAAGUUUAAAGGAGAUAAAAAUUAUGAAAAUUUAAAAUAUUAAUUUAUUUAAAAAAAGGAAACCGCAGGACUGUUAGCUAUUGACAAGUAAAAGACUCCCAUGAAAAGAUGACUGAGAAAUGACAUCUUGCCGCGUGAAGACUUCUCCAGCUUUGCAUCAUGGAAUGGACUAUCAAAACCAGCCAGCACGGCUCAACCCCAGGCUCUCAUCCAAAAAAGAAUAUUUUGCACCUUUUUUUUAUAAUUAUAAUCUAUUUAUUAUUUUUAAUAAUAAAAAUUGAUCUUAAAUUAUACUUAUUAAGAAAAUUCAUUAUUAGAAUUGAUAAAAAAUUGAAAUUUUUUUACAAUGAUGUCUUUUAGUUAUAUUAAAUAUUAAUUUAAAAUGUUGGUUAUUAUGAUGACAUAAUAUUUAAUAAUUAUUAAAAAAAAUUAAAAGAAAUACAUUUAAAUUUUAAAUGCAUUCAAAAUUUAAAAAUAUUUUUUUUUUCGAUAUAUAUUUUUUUAAUUAUUUUUUCAAUAUAUCAAAAACGUGUUCUAAAUAAUAAAGGUAUGCAUUUAAAAAAGAGAAUUUAGAAUAUAUUUGAUAUUAUUGUUAAAUUAUAUUGUUGUUAAUAUGAAAAACUUUUAUUUUAAUUAAGGAAAUUUUUUUUUCUUAUAAGAUUGACUUAAAGACAAGGUCUUCUUUAAAAAUUAAACAUUAUUCACAGAAAAUUAACUUACCGAAGAUGAUUGUCUAAAACUCCUAUAAGAAAAUAUUAUCUAAACGUGAUAAAUUUUAAUAUCUAUAUUAAAUUUGAAUCAGAUCAAAUUCAUCUUAAAAAAAUUAAGUGAAGAGCGGAGUAUCUAAACUCUUAUAAAAAUCUUAUAGGAAGUAUUUAUCGUGGGAUCCAACAAAUAUAUCAUUAUUUUUUUUUCCAUAUAUUUAAAUUUAUUAUUGAUUAAUUGAUAAUUUCUAUUAUUAUAGACUUGUCAUAUAUGUUGAAUUAUUCGACAGUGAUCCAAAGUGUAGUGAAUAUAAUUUCUCUAUAUGAGAUUUUUUUUUAUUAAUUAAAGAUUUUAGCUAAAUUAUUUAUAAAUGAAUAAUUUUCAAGUAUAAAUGCUAGAUAUUAGCAACGUUAACAUCCGCGGUAGCUUAUCAUUGUGUCUAGCAAAUUUGACUUUUCUUCAAGGAUUAGAUAUUUCUUAUAAUUUCUUCUACUUAGAUCUCUGAGCCAAUUUCUUCCUAAGUCCCAAUCUCAUUGAAUCCAUUCUUUAACCAUUCAAAAUUGAAAUACUUGUAUAGUUCGGGUAACAAAGCAUUUGCAGAAGCAGAUCAUCAGUAUUGGAAUCCUAGUUUUCAAUUAGAGAGACUUAUUCUAUCUGGUGAUGGAUACUGUAGUGCAUUCCCCAAAUUCCUCUAUUAUCAGCAUAACCUAGAAUUUGUUGAUUUGUCGCACAUUCAAAUGAGAGAGGUUUCCAUCUUGGUUGUUACACAACAAUACGAAACUAGAAAUUCUUUUCUUGAUUAACAACUCUCUCUCAGGGCCUUUCCGGUUACCAUUUCACUCUCAUAUGAAUUUGUCAUGGUUGGAUAUCUCCUACAAUAGCUUCACUGGCUUUAUUCUGAUAGAAAUUGGAACGCAUUUGCGAAGAUUGAGAUAUCCAAUGAUAUCAAAAAAUGGUUUCAGUGGUAGUACUCCAUAUUCGUUUGGAAAUAUGAGUUCACUGGAAAUUUUAGAUUAUCCCACAACAAUUUCACUGGAAGCAUCCCAAGUAGCUUAUUAAAAUGUAACCAGUUGAAAAUAAUGGAUGUCAGUUAUAAGCAUCUCUCUGGUAAGCUUCUUAAUUGGAUAGGAAGUAUGUAUCAUCUUCAAAUUUUGGAUCUUUCACAGAACAACAUUUCUGGAAGUUUACCAUCCAAUUUCUGUCCAAGAGAUUUAACAGAAGUCCUCCUGAAAUUGGAACUCUCAGCAUGAUCAAGGUAUUGAAUUUGUCACAUAACAAGUUGAUUAACAAUAGCAGCAGUUCUAUACAUAAACCCAUACUGGCGACGAAGAUGGUUUUACUUCAUAGAAACGAGCCUUACCAAUUGCUACUAUUUUCUGGUGGACAAUAUUCCUCUACUGUCCAAAUUUGGACUUUCAUAGAAUUGAGGCUUGACAAGUUCAAUGUUUGACUAUCUGUGUUUUCCAAUGUUCAAUUAAUUGCAUUUUGUUCUUGAUUUCUGUCAUUUGUAAUUAAUCUAAGCUAAUUUUUGUUUGAAAUAUAAUUGCUGGACAUGGUUAAUAUUACAUGUUAAGUUGUGAUUCGCUUCUUCAUGGAUGAGAGACUAUGAAAAAUUAUUCAAAACAUUGUUAAUAUCUCCAUUAUUCAAAUAAAUUUUUAUAAAACUAUACAAUAAUUUCAUAUUUUUUAAAUUAAAAAAUAUUAAAUUUUUUCAUUUCAAAUAAUAAUGAAAAUUAUACUAUCUCACUUCGCGCCCUAAUUAUAAAAAAAAAACUCUAAAUUUCACUAGCUGUGACAAUUAUAUCAAAACAUUUUUCUUAAUAAAUAUACUUCAAAUUAUAGUGAUGGAAUUAAUUGUAGACUAAUGAUAGCUAGUUAAUCCAAAGAAGCCACAUGAUACUGCCACGUAUUAGAGUCGGGUGUUUUGAUUAGCCUAGCUGGACGAUCCAACCAGUGGAAGAGAUGUACAUGGGGUUUAUGAAGAAGAACUAGGUCAAGAAGCCAAUGGGGCUUGACUCAAUUUUGGCACUCUAAUGCUUAACUUAAUGAGAGUUAUAAGGAAAAAUAUUAGAGAGCAAAAAAAUGGAAAGAGAACUUAAAAGAUGUAGUGCGGUUCAGUUAUUAGUUAAUGAUUUUUUUUUUAUCCAUUUGAUCAUCUCUCAAUUAAUUGAAAUAACUGAAUUUUUAUUAAAUAAUAUAUUUAAUUAUAAUUUUAUGAAUAAAAUAUUAUUUAUAAUAAUUAUUUUUAUAUUAUUAUUAUUAUUAUUGUUAAUUUUAUAAUAAUUAUUUUAUUAAAAUAAGUUAUAUUUUUUAUUAUUUUUAAAAAUAAAAAUCAUAAUUGUAUAUUUUUAGUACAUAUUUAAUAAAUCAACAAUAUGAAAAUUUUUUACUUUGUUUUGUUUAUAAUCGAUCACAAAUCAAACAUUUCGAUUUUAGUUAGAUUUGAUUUUCUUCAAAUUUUAGUUUGAUUAAUAUUUUAAGAGCCGAAAAAUUUUUAGUUUAAUUUGAUUAGUUUAUUUAAAUGCUCACCCUAAUAACAAAUAUGAUUAUUAUUCUAAAUAGACAAUCAUGAAUUUUUAUUUUCCAAAAAUAGUGUAGUAAUAAAAUUGCAUUGUUAAUUGUUAUAAUUUUGACCGUUAAACUCUAAUUUUUAUCUCUCUAGAAAAAGAAAGAAACUCUUUUUUUUUUCUAUAGUUGCUUGAGAGUUCAAUCUCUUAUUUUUUUUUUAUGGUGCGUAGUUUUUUUCUGCCGAUUUGCUUUUCACUUUCCAAAGAGUGGAUGGUUUUUUAAUUAUUUAUUUCUUAUUUUUUUUAUUUCUCUUAUUUGAUUUUGUCAAGUAGACUUGUAAUUAUAAGAGAGAAUUUCUUUAAUGUUUACCGUUGUUAUUUGAUGCUAGGUUGCUAUAUUGUUUUUCCUCUGCAUGCAAGUGGUUAGAGUCUCAUAUUGAUUAUUCUUCCUUCUAUCUCAAGUCUAUCACCAUUAAAACAAUAGUGGCUCGUGGAGCAAAAUUUCAAAAGGCGUGAUUUGGGUCGUCGAAGAGUCCAUCUCGUUUGCCUUCGUCAGCAUUUUCUUUAAUAUGUGGAUGGCCCUGACUCAAUACUUUGCCUUCCUUACUUCGACAUGUGUUUUAGACCUUUUCAGCUUGUUGAUGGAGUUUUUAGUGCUCUUUUCGGCUAGAGACAGCAGCUUUAAGAAGCGGUAUUCCUGUUUCACCUCUAUUUGAUAUUCCACUAUUCAAAUCUAAGUUUUUAAAUUGUUUAGGGUUUGGACUGGACGAUAUAUUUGGUUUUUUUCAAUCUUGACUCUACAGGCUUUUAUAUAUUUACACUUAGGCUAUGAGCCUUUUUAAUAAAAUAUCUUAAUCUUUUGAGGAAAAAAAAUUGAAUAUUAAAAGUGCUAUCAUUUAAGUGUUACAAGCAUUAGACGAAUGCAUGAUAGUUAAUAAUAUGAUAAUGGUUAUUAAAUUUAAUGAACUGAAUCAAAAAGUUAUUUAAGUUAAUUUUAACCUGUUAUUAUAAUUGUUAUCAAUACAUUUAUAAGUUAGGAAAAUUAUACAAAACUAAUGAGUUAUAAAGAAAUUAUAAAAUUGAGUUGGAAAUACAUUUCAUAUCGGUGAUGUAUAAAUUACGGGUGUUUUAUAUAAAUUGCUAAUUCGAUGUAUAAAUUACGGGUGUUUUAUAUAAAUUGCUGAUUCGAAGUAAUAGAUAAUUUAUAUAAACUAUUUUUUAUCAAGUAGAUAGUAAAUUUAAAAUUUAUUUAGGUUAGUAAUUAUAUUCUUAAGGCAUUUGUGCCGCUUAAUAUUGGCUUAGCUUUGAUCCUUUAGGAUUGCAUUUAUACCUAACACUAAAUAAAGACAUGUGGAGUAACUGUGUAGCUCCGCACCUGCGUUCGACAUUGCCUCCUACCAAGCGGGUGUUAAAAUUUGAGAUGGAUGAUGAUUUGAACUCUUACGUGGCAAGAGUAUUAACUCAACAUAUUAAUUUAACGAGAAAGUAAAACUAACUUCUAUUACAUUAUUUAAGAUAUAUUAAUUAAAACCAUUAAUUGAAGUUAGAGAGCAUUUGGCUUUUAACUAAAAAAAAAAAAGAAAAUAAAUUAUAUUUCAAAAAUAUUUUUAUUUUUUUAUAGAAAAUAUUUUCAAUGAAAAUUUAUUUUUUAAUAAAAUAACUUUUUUUACUUAAUUUUAAUUUAAAAAAUAAAAUUUAUUAAUAAAUUUAUAUAUAAAAAUCUUAAUAAAAAUUUUAAGGUGUAGAAAAUUAUUUUCUCUUUUUAAAAAAUAAUUUAUUAUUUUUUUAAUCAGAAAAAUAUUUUCUGUAUUCUAAAUUUUCUGCGUGAAAUAUUAGAAAAAAAGAAAAUAUUUUUUUAAAAAUAUUUUUUGUAAAAUAAACGAAGUAUUAAUUAAAAUAAAAUAUAAAAUUACUAUCUAUAAUUAUAAAAAGAAAUGACCCUAACUUAUUUUGUUUAAAUUAUAAAUUAAAUUUAUAAGCACAUAAAAUAUUAUAAACAAAUAUGAGAACAUAUUUUUAAAACUUAUAAAUUAAUUUGAGCAAUUUAUAAUUUAAAACAAACACAUCUUAAAAUCAUUAAAGCUAGGAAAGAUUGUAUUUCAUAACCAUUACCCCUUUAAUAUAUUAUAUAUAUAAAUAUUUAAAAUAUAAAGAAUAUUAUAUACCUUUCGUUUUAUAAUUUUUAUUUAUUUUAUUUUUUUACAUAUAUUAAAAAAUAUAAUUUUUUAAUUAUACUCAUUUAAAAAAUAUUAAAUUUAUUAAAUAUUAAAAAAUAUUUUAAAUAUUUAUUUAGAAAAAUAAUUUUAUUUUAAAAUUAAAAUAAAAUUUAAAAAGUUAUUAUAAUGUAAAAAAUGUUUUAAAAUAAUUAAAAAAUAAUAAAAAUUAUAAAAUUAAGAGAAUAUCAUUUAAUAUAAACUAAUAUUGCUAAUAAAAAAAUUAAUUACAAUUAAGUCUCCGUAAAAAAUAAUAUGUAUUUGAAAAAUAUUUUCAAUCAAAUAAUGUAUUUUCUACAACUUAAUUUUAAUUUAAAAAAAUAAAAUUAAAUAAAAAAUUUAUAUAAAGUUUUAAUAAAAAUGUCGCAAAAAAUGACUUAAUUUUUUUACAAAAAUUAUUUUUUUAAAGUGAAUUUUUUAUAAAAAAAUAUUUUUAUAUUAAUUAAUUUUUAUUUUUUCAUAAAAAAUAUUUUCUGUUAAUUAAAUUUUUUGAGUAUUUCAAAUAUAAAAAAUAUGAAAAAUAAUAUUUUUCGUAAAAUAAAGUUUAAACAAUUUUACAAAUAAUGAUUUACUUUUAAAAAAAAUAGAUAAUUAAUGUUUACAUUCUUAACUUGGAUUCUUGAUUUUUUUUUUUUUUUAGUUUNNNNNNNNNNNNNNNNNNNNNNNNNNNNNNNNNNNNNNNNNNNNNNNNNNNNNNNNNNNNNNNNNNNNNNNNNNNNNNNNNNNNNNNNNNNNNNNNNNNNNNNNNNNNNNNNNNNNNNNNNNNNNNNNNNNNNNNNNNNNNNNNNNNNNNNNNNNNNNNNNNNNNNNNNNNNNNNNNNNNNNNNNNNNNNNNNNNNNNNNNNNNNNNNNNNNNNNNNNNNNNNNNNNNNNNNNNNNNNNNNNNNNNNNNNNNNNNNNNNNNNNNNNNNNNNNNNNNNNNNNNNNNNNNNNNNNNNNNNNNNNNNNNNNNNNNNNNNNNNNNNNNNNNNNNNNNNNNNNNNNNNNNNNNNNNNNNNNNNNNNNNNNNNNNNNNNCCAAAGUCUUUUUUUUUUUUCAAAUAUUAUGUGGCAUGUUGAGUGAAAAAAUAACACACAUUUUUCUUUUUUUCUUUUAGUGUUUCCCUUGCUGAGAUGGACGUUGAGAUAGUGCUUACAUGGUAAGGAACAUCUUGAGGUAAAUCUGCAUUUUGAGGGUAUUUUGAUUGGCUUCUGAAGGGUAUUAUUGAUCGGUAACAUUGCAUCUCAGAAACCAUUAUGUUUAGUCGCUUCCACUCUUGUUGGCCAAUGAUUAGUUGGGUUCUACGCAUCUCCUCUUCAUUGUGAUCGGUGUUGUUUCUACUAUACAUAUGUCGCAAGCCUUCUUUCUCUUGCAUAUUGCUUAUAUGAUUGUUUUCAUGUUGGUUUCGCUCCAAACUCAUUUAUGUGAUGGUUGACUGUAAUGGUAGUGCUAUGCUUUCUUAGUUUUUGAGAAGGUGGCUCUCUGCGUUUAUUGAUGGUAAAUGAUAAAAUGGGUCGGUGUGUUGUCUUGAUUGAUUCUGUUCUUGUUAUUUGGUUGAACUUGUAGUGGUCUCUUAUUUUUUAGUAUAUCAUCGAUAGUUGAUGGUGUAGUCUUAUUGUCAUUAUUGAUGUUGCUUUUUAGAUGGUACAGUGGAAUGAAGCUCUGGAUCAUCUUAUUUUGGUGUUGUGUUUAUGACUUGAUUUAUUAUUUGGUGUUUCACAUAAUUUGAUUUGUUUAUCUUAUUUUACUGUUUCACAUAAUUUGAUUUGUUUAUCUUAUUUUGUUGUUUAUCGCAUAGUUUUAAUUCUUUGUAAAUCCAAUAUAUGCAUGAAUAAAAAAAAUAAUAACCAAAAGUUAAAAAUUUGAAUGAAGUCGCCAAAGCUGAUAGAAAUGUAGGCCUUUCAUGUCCACCUAUUUUGGAUAAUUACAAUUUAAUCCCUAUAAUUAGUAAAAUCUCCAUUUUAAUAUCUCUAUUUUUUAAAUCUAUCUAUUAAACUCUAAACAUUUAAAUAAACUUAUAAAUUAGUUCCUACCAUUAAAUCAUUAUUAAAAACUAUCAUUAUUUUUAAAAAAAUAUUAAAAUACCCUUUAUUAUAUUUUUAAUAUAAAAUAAUUAACUCUAGUAAAGUUUUAAUCCCAUAGUUUAAAUAUUUAUAUUUUUUUUUUACAAUUCACUUUAAUAUUUUUAGAUAUUAAUCUCUAAUAUAACAAUUAUUCGUGAGUAAACACAUAAAUUUACAAACUGAUCCAUAAUUAUUAUGUUUAUUUAUAAAUAAGUCCUUAUAUUUUUAUCAAUUAAUAACUAUAUAUUAUAAUUAUUUAUGAAUAAGCCCAUACAUUUCAUAAAACAAUUCCUAAACAUAAUUAUUCAUAAAUGAACCCUUUUUGCAAAUUUAUCCCUAAAUAUAAAAUUAUUGAUAAAUAAAAAAAUUUCAAAUUAAUCCCUCAUAUUAUAAUUAUUUAUGAAUAAGCUUAUGCUCUUACAAAUUAAUUUUUCGAUAUUACAAUUAUUUGUAAAUAAUCCAAAUAUUUUACAAAAUAAUUCUUAAAUAUAAGUAUUUACCACUGGUGUCUUUUUUUUACAAAAUUAAGGUAUAUAAUUAUUCCAAAAUAUAACAUUUUAAAAAAUUUACAUGAAUUUUUCUAUUAAUUUUAGUCAAUAAAUAUUACAAAAAAGUCUAUAACCCUCAAUAUAUAAGAUUAGCUAGUAAAUUUUUUAAAAUAUUAGAGAUAUUUUAUUAUAUUUUUCGUAAUCCAACUAAUAAUUUUCUUUUAUAAUAUAGAGACAAAAUAGUAAAAUUUUCAUUAUAAUAUUAGCAAUCAAUUUUAAAAAUAUAAGGCUUAUGAAUUAAAUAAUAAUUGCAUUUAAGUAUCAAUUUGUCAAAAAUAGAUUUAUUUGUAAUUAAAUAUAUUUAGAAAUUAUUUUUGUAAAUUAUAAGAGUUUAUUAAAAAAAAUUAGAAAUCAAUUUAUAAAAAUAUAUAUUUUAUUUGCAAAUAAUAAAAUUAAAAAUUAUUUUUAAAUUUUAAGGGUUUUUUGAAAAUAAUUAAAAUAUUUAAAAAUUAAUUUAUAAAAAUAUAGUUUUAUUUAUAAAUAAAUAUAAUAUUAAGGAAUCAAAUUAUAAAAUUAUAAGGAUUUAGUUAUAAAUAUUAUAAUAGGUAAAUAACAAUUUAUAAAUAUUAAAGUACAUUAUGAAAAAAAUGAGUUUUAAAUUAAAGGACUAAAUUAUAAAUUUUAUUAAAUUUUAAGAAUUUAAUUUUUUUCAUAUUAAAAAUAUAUUAAAUAGUAUUUUAAUUAUUUUUUUAAAAUUGACAAUAAUUUAACAAUAAAUCUAAUGGUACGACUAAAUUACAAGUUUAUUCUUCAAAUGUUAAAGAAUUAAGUAGGUAAUUUUACAAAUAUAAGGAUUACAGUGAAAAUUUUAUUAAAUUAUAAAGAUUAAACUAUAAUUUACUCAUCCUUUUAAAUAUUAAAAAAAAAUCCCCAAAAUAAUACAUAGAACAUGAAAAAGGAGGGGAAAAAAAUCAUGCUCUAAAGAAGAAGCAUAUCGAUAUUUCCCCCCUCGUCCGAUAAUCGGGUCCUCAGGUGUCAGCUCUUUAGGCCGUAGCUGCGAAAAAUACAGAGAGAGAGAGAGCGCAGUAAUUUGUAAUUCUCUCCUCUCACAUCUACUCCACUCAUACAUACGUCUCUCUCCAUCUUCUUCAUCUCCUCAAUCUCCUCACCAAGCAGUUUUCUUUCUUAAUUUCAGGUAUUUUGCGCCAUAUGUUUUCUCUUUUUCGUUCUCUUUUUAUUAUCUUUUUUUAUGAUUUUGUCUAUUAGGCUUUCUAGCUGCGAAUUUUGAAACUUCUUGAUAUGGGUUUUCUGUGUUUCUGAUGAAUGGGUAGCUUCGUAGCUGAAAUUCUCGCGCUUUUCUUCUUUCAUUGUGAUUUUGCAAGCCCUAGGUUAUUUACGCAUUUGUAUGUAGGGGAUAUUUGAAUCCUUUGAUUUCUGUAAAGGGUGAGAUUGAGAAUUGUGUUUUCGCAGCAUGAUUAAGGUUCAAUAAUUUUAUGGACUUCUGCUUAUUUUGUUUUGGCAGUGAAUUUUGCUCAUACGCAGUUAACUUGGGCUAAAUUAUUGCUUUUGGAUGGUUGGUGGUGAUAAAUAGCUAUUAAGGUGCAAGGUGCACCGAAGUGCCAAGAGUCUUGAGCCUAGGUGGAGAUGCAAAAAGAAGAAAAAUUCAUCAAAAAUCAAAUAAAUGUAAAUAAUUUAUCAAAAUUCAAAUAACAUAAGAUAAUUAUUUAAAUUUAUCUGCUUCAAGGUUAUAGUUUGCUACCUGAUAAAAUUUUACCACAAAUCAUAUACAUUUAAUUUUAUCUUUAAUAUCUUUAAACAAUAUAAUGUGAGAAAAGUAGUUAAAGAGACAAGACAUACAGUUAUUUCACGUUAAUUUUUUUCCAUUGUAAAUUCUCCAACUCAUAAUUGGCAGAACUGAAUAUUCUACAAUUUGGAUUUCUACUCAAUUCAAUGGCAGCAAUAGGAAAUUUUCUGCCAACAAAAAACUAUUAAAAAGUUAUAGGGAUUUUGAAUUGUUUAUCCAGUGAUUCUUCUGGAUCAGUAAAGAAUGGAAGACCAUUUAAUAAAUUUCAAUGCUGUGCAUAUGAUGUGAAUUCAGGGUUCAUGUAGCCUUUCUAGAUGCAGCAGGUGUCGGUGGCCUGGGAUUUCUAUUCCAUUCUUCCUUCUUAUGGGUGCAUUAGUAUUCUAUUAACUAAAUUUUGAACAAGUUCACAACAUCAAUUGUCUAAGCUAUUGCUGUUGUAAUGGAAAAAAAGGAAGUAGGUUUACUCAAUUUCAUAAUUUUAUAAAUUUUAUAUGAAUUUAGUCAAUAUAUGCUACAUAUUUACCCUUCCAAGUUCCAACACCUGAAAUAACUAGCUCUAGAGAAGAAAUACAUGAGUUACAUAAGAUAUUUGGUGUUCACCACUAAAAAAAUUUACAUUUUACCUUGUUCUGCAAAGUUCUUGUAGUGACACUUCUACCAACUUGAAGAUUAGUGAGAAUCUUGUUAAAAUUAAACUUUGGGAAUGAAUUUGGGUUGUGAGAGCUAGAGAAUGGUUCUGGAUAUAUUUGUGGUUUGCAUGUGCAAUUGACCUUAAAAUGCUAAACGUUUACACAUUUAACGAUUUUGUCCCAACCUUUUAAUUUUGGCACUUUAAUACAAAUUUGAAAGGUUUGUAGAAAUUUUAUCCAAAUUUGACAUCAGAUUUGGGGAGAGUGUGGUUUUGCUUAUGUUGCAUGACAUGUGGCUUUUUUUAUUAUUAAACAUGAGACCCAUUUGACACCUAUGCAAACUUUGCAACAUAGAAAAUUAAAGUUAUUUUAAUCAAUUAAAAAUUUUUUAAAAAAUUAUUUUAAUGAAUUAAACUAUUCUCUUCACCAUCGCUGUCUUAGUUACUCGUCGUUGUUUCAGUAACUUGUUGCCAUCUCACUCACCCACAUCCUCAAGACUAUAAGUUUUUUCUGUUCUACUUCUCAAUAUACAUCACACAUCCUGGAUCAAGUAAAGACUCUAGGUUUCCAACAAGCCACCGCUACAUCCAUUUCAUUAGGAAUUGAUAAUCUUUAACAAUACCUUCUAAGGGAUGGCAAGUCCAAGAUGCUGAACAAUAAAGUUUGAUUUUGAAAAAAACACUAUCAUUAUGGAAAUGUACAUGCAGUAGAAAAAUUAUGCCAAUCUAUUGAGUUAUGGUAUGCUACAAGUGAAUAUUUGUUACAAGAAACGAACCUGAAUUUUAGGAUGACAGAACCCUUUAAUCCAUUCCAUAUANNNNN